rnacentral:lncRNA from 1 species
UUUUUUUUUCUUUUGAUAGAAGGGUUGCGUUGCGUCCACGGGGGAAAAAGCAGAGGAGGAUUCCAUCUCCCCCACUCGGCCACUCCCCAUCCCACCCCACCCCACCGCCGCGGGAUCCACUGCGCUGCGGCGAGGACGACGGCGAGGCGACCCCGGCCCUGCGCACCAGGGGCGCGAUGGUAAGAUCCGCGGCUCGCUUCCUGUGAUUCGUUGACCGUGUGACGAUCUCGGCCUGUAGCGCGCGCUUAAAUCUUAGGGUUCUUAGGGUGUUUCCGGCGAUCUGUGGGUUGUGGACUGGUUCACUGGUUGGCGUCGUAUGCUGCGUCUCCCCGUGUUGACGUGGUGCGGUUGCUUUGAUGUCUUGGCCGGUGGCUGGUGUCUCGUGCAGAUUCAGCUGAUGCUGGUUUCGGUAGGCCGAGGAAUCCUGUGUAGUACGUAUGGCAAGUGCGCCACGAGAUUUUGCUUGCUACUCCGAUUAGGAAGCGAGUGAGGGGCAGACACGGGUUUGUCGGCGUGCUGAUUUUGGCGUCGAGUUAUCGUUAGGGGCCAUACUUGUUUGCUUUGUGGCAUGUAUUUUUGUCAGGCGAAUGAAGGGGCGGCAAAUUGAUGGUUACAGCACCACCUGGAAUUGUUUUAUGUUCUUGGAGUCCAAUUGGCUGGCCUUCUGUGAUUUUACUUUGCUACUUCAAAUAGGAAGUGAGUAAGGAGCAGACAUGAAUUUUUAUCAAGCGAGUGAAGGGGCGGCAAAUUGAUGGUUACAGCAUGAAUCCUAUUGGCUGGCCUCCUGUGAUUUUGCUUGCUACGUUGAAUAGGAAGUGAGUAAGGAGCAGACAUGGGUUUGUCGGCGUGCUAAUUUUGGCGUUGAGUUGUCCUUAGGGGCCAUACUUGUUUGCUUGUUGGCGUGUAUUUUUGUCAAGCGAGUGAAGGGGCGGCAAAUUGAUGGUUACAGCUCCACCUGGAGUUGCUUUGUGUUGCUGGAACCCAGUUGGCUGGCCUAAAAGUGGGUUGUGCAGCAUCUUGAGUCUGGCAGUGUUAUUUGUGCCACCAGUGGCACUUCGUCUGAUGAUACACGCAGAUUUCUUCAUAAGAAUCAGCUCUUCAAUAUACUGCUUUCAGACGAAGUAUAUACGGUUGAAAUUUGCAUGCAAGCUUAAUCCUGUGGAAUCUAAACUAGCUGGGUGCAUUGAUACGUUUUAACUGUAGGUUGAUAGUCUAUUGUAUAUUAAGCACAUCAAAUGUUCCAUCUUCAAGACUUCAAAAUUACUGUUAGUACCGGAGGAAAGAAAAUGGUUUAGGCAUUGUGUGGAGCACGGGAAUUUUUCCUUAAGACUGCAGGAAACGUAGGGUUUCCCGUGAAAUUUGUGCUCUUAAAAUAUGCCUUUAACUCUAUCCAUACUACUGGUAUUGUUAUAAUGGUCUACUACAUACCAUCUGUUGAAAGCGAGAUUCUUCUUGGUAGGCUGACCAUGACCCAGAGUUGGAGGCCAUCAGGCAGAGGCGAGUGCAAGAGCUAAUGGGACAGCGUGGUGGUGCGGUAAGUUACUUAAGUGCAUGGUGAAAGUUGAAUCUGUACUCAAAAAUUGUGCAUUUUUCUUGAUUUGCUGACUGGAAUGUAAUGAUUAACUUCAUAAUUAUAGGCAAGCCCACAAAAUGCAGGGCAACAAAAGGCUCAGGAAGAUGCAAAGCAGUAUGGUCUUAUUACCACCAUAUUCCCAUGAUUAUCUCAUCAUCCAUCUUACGCUAUGUCAUAUGAAGCUUUAGGAGACACUGAGCUGACUUUGUAUCUCAAACUCAACCAGGGAAGCUGAGGAACGCCGACAGAUGAUGCUUUCUCAGAUACUAUCUUCUGAAGCUAGAGAAAGACGUAAGUUCCCUUUUAAUGUCAUUUCUGUUGUCUACGAUGGUUGUUUUUUAUUUACAGCCAAAUAAUUCAAGCCAGAGCACUUGCUUUUCUUAACAACUGACAAGUUCAAUCACUUAACAGUCUACCACUAAGCAAUAUGGAAAACGUUUAGGUGUUUCAGAAAAUUUCCUGCGGUUCUUCAAGUAGUUUUCUUUUAGGGAGUAAAUAUUCUAAUUAGAGAUGACGCCAGGCUGGGAAAUAACCAUGAGUCUUUGAAGUUGCAUAAUUUAAGCGGAAAAUGUAAUUUAAUACAUCUGUACUCUGUAAAAUUGGCAGUCUCCCGCAUAGCUUUGGUCAAGCCUGAUAAAGCAAGAGGAGUGGAGGAUGUUCUGCUGAGAGCUGCACAAACUGGUGGAAUAUCUGAAAAGGUAAUACCGUAAUAGAUAUGUGUUUCUCUCGUAUGUCAACAUAUUCGGUAGAACUUGCUUGAAACAAAAUUGCAUUUGCUUGUCUGCAGGUGUCUGAAGAAAGGCUUAUCUCACUUCUGGAGCAAAUCAACAGCCACACAAGCAAACAAACCAAAGUGACGGUACGUACAUCAGUAGGUGUUGUGGCCUGUAUCGAUUCUUAACACAAGACAUAUAGUUGCAUAAAGAGAGUUCAUUACAUUAAAGAAAAUCUACUUUGCUUCCAGUAGUGGGUUUAGGCUUAAGCUCUAUUAGAAUUCCAUAUCAUGGCCUUGCAAAGUUCUCUGCAUCUGAAAACUAUCCAACUAAAACGCAGUCAGCUUUUAUAUCACCCUUUUCCUUCCAUGCUAACUCUAGUAUGUUCAACAGAUUCAGAGGCGUCGCAACGUCCUUGACGACGAUGACUAGUUGGUAAGCUUGAUGUACGAGCGAAUGGGUGCAGCGGCAUUUGGUGCUUGAUUCAACAACCGUCAGAACCUGACAAACUAUUUGAUUGGUCUUGGGUUGUAUAUGAUCUGGAUAUUAUUUGGUGGGGUUUUUCAUUGAUAACAGUUGGAUGUUCGCUUCUACCCCUGAAACUCUCUGCGACACUUUUGAGUUGUUGUGGUCAAUUUAUCAAGUCCUAUCAGAUAAUGUUAAUCUGCACGGGUUCCUCCUGUGCAAUGUGAUGUCUGUCUCAGGUUGCUCCUAAGUUCUUCAUGUGCAAUGUGAUGUCUGUCUCAGCUUGCUCCUAAGUUCUUCAUGUGCAAUGUGAUGUCUGCAACUCAGUGAUUAGAUGGUCCUCCUUACUACGCCUGUGCAAUGUGAUGCCUACUUCGGCUGGCUACUACACUACGUGGAUUCCAUGAUUCUCCAUCAGUGACAACAUGGAUAUAGUUGAUAGAGGAGUCGAGUUCCGACUGCAUCACUCGUGUUUGUGCGUACAUUUAUCCACAUGCCCUGUAUUGGCCAUGAAGUGUUUAGCUGAAGGUUUAAUGCAAGGAAAAUAAGUGCAAUCCAAGAAUGUAGUAAAGACGGGUGGAUUUGGUAAUGCAAAAUAUUCUGGAUCGGAUUUGUCAUGUGCAAUUCAUCCGAACGUCCUUUGCGCCGCAGCAGCUUGGAACCAGAUUUGAAUCCAAGAACACUCUGGUUGCAAACUGCACAAGGUUGUUCACAGAGCAGCUCACAUUUGCCAUUUUCAGGAUUCAGAGGAUAAUACCAAACUGCUGCUGCCAACUGAUAUACAUACUGCAAAGUAAACUACUGUACCUUGAGAACAGGACAGGGUAAGGCAAACCGUUGGGUUGUUCUUAUCCUGCCACGUUAAAUGACCAUGAUCCUCAAUAGCAGCAGGAAAUUAAGCCCGACUGAUUGAACAAGACUGGGUUCUGCGCCUAAUGCAGAAACAGAACCUACUGGGGCAUCAGGAAUCUGGAAACACAAAUUACAUUGCUACGAUAAUUAUGAAAGCACAGACAUGGCAGGGACUAGCUCAAGAACCUAGCAAGAAAUCAAAUCCCUACUGCAUAAAUGUAUCACUAUUUCUCAGUCUCGGUUUGCACCAGUGAAUUCAGAUCUUACUACCAAAUUCCAAAUUCCAUAAACGAAUCUCGGUUUUUAUUACCACUGUUUGCAGAUAACCAGAGUUCAGCAACCAGAAUACAAAUGGCCAGACAUUUCAGAAGGGUCAAAAGCUAACAUCAGUCAGGCAAGAUCACUAGUACAGAUAUAGGAACACAACUUGAGUUCUAGAUAGAUUUCAGUUUGCCAAAGCAGCAACUUGAGUUCUUACUACAACCAACGAGCCAACAAAGCGUUGGCAAUCACCCAGCACAGGUACUGCUACCGCUACUUGCAGAUAGAUAGAUAAGCAGAGUACAGAUACAGAAACCAACUACACGCCGUCAGUCUAGGAGGAGGUGAACUUGGUGACGGCCUUGGUGCCCUCGGAGACGGCGUGCUUGGCGAGCUCGCCGGGGAGGACGAGGCGGACGGAGGUCUGGAUCUCCCGGGAGGUGAUGGUGGGCUUCUUGUUGUACCUCGCGAGCUUGGCGGACUCGCCGGCGAGCUUCUCGAAGAUGUCGUUGAUGAAGGAGUUCAUGAUGGACAUGGCCUUGGAGGAGAUGCCGAUGUCGGGGUGGACCUGCUUCAGCACCUUGAAGAUGUAGAUCUUGUACGUCUCGACGCUCUUCUUGGCCUUGCUGCCCUUCUUCCGGCCCCUCGUCUUGGCCUCGCCGCCGGCCUCCUUGGACGCCGUCUUGCCCGCCGGCAGCCGCUUCUCGGCCUUGGGCUUCUUGCCGGCGGGGGUUUUCUCCGCCGCCUUCUCCACCUUGUUCUCGGCGACGGUCUUCUUGUCUGCCUUGGGGGCCAUGGCUGCCGCUUCGGGUGGGAUUGGGAGCUCCGGUGGUGAGAUGUGUGAGUUUGCUGGAGGCAGGGAAGAUGGGGACUGAGAUUGUGGGGAAAGGAGGAGAUGGGUGCUGGAUUUUAUAGGGGAGAGAGCUGCGCGCUGAUUGGUGGACGGGUCAGUGCCUCGGAUCGCUGACGUGGAGCGACGGUAUGGCCCACUCUCGAACUGCUGCAACGCAAAGCAUCGUUUGAAGGGAACCAGGGGUGAAAACUAAACAUGGACACCGCGGAUCGCUGACGUGGACACACUCCCAAACUGUUGCAAAGGCAUCAUGCCCUUGAACGGGCCUUUGCUUGACAAAGCCCGAAGCAAGAAUACCGAACCCGGAUCCGGCCCGGCCAGAAACAUUUGAACAGUACAGUUUUUAAUAGUUCUUCUCUUCUUCUUCUAAAAAAGAAGUUCUUAAUAGUUCUAAAAAAAAUACAGUUCUUAAUUAAAGUAAUUAAAUUUAGGUUAUUUAAAUAUAGAACUAUACCUGUUUUUAGAUUAAAACAAUUAUUUAAAACUCAUUCGGUUUUUAUUCGGACUUUGGACAAAAAUGUCGAGCCCAUGCAUGGACUGGAUGCCGGGCUUUCGGGUCAGGCUCGUCGGGACGAGCUGCCCAUGAAUAGCGCUAUUGAAAAUGGAGCGGAUGCAAAUUGAAUAGUGUUCUUCUACGUGGGUGCCGGUCCGCAAGGUGUACAACAAUUCUCGAACCUUUGGUCCGCCGUCAGUAACAUACAACUAAAUAGUGCUAUCCUGGAUGUUUUCUCGUGGAGGUGGAGUUCAACUGGACAGUACUCGACGCAAUCUACCUACAAAAUGCUAUAAGAGGGCAUGAUUCGUUUGCCCACUGCUCACUGUGUCCGGGAAAGAUAGCCGCCACUUAGAUGCAAAAUAUUCAUAUGGCUUGCUAUUUAAUACCGAGUAUGGACCUUCGACCAUCGAUUCCGGCAUGGGCUACAAGACGCUAGUCCCCUUACUUCACUUGCUGUUAGGAAGAUGAUACUCUCGACCACAUACUUUUGCAAUGUGCUUAUGCACGACAGGCGUGGCACGCAUAUUUCACUACACUGGCUGACUAUGUCGGCAUCCCCAUAGUGGAGGACAACUUGGAGGAGUGGCGGCUUCGUGUGCGCCAAGCUUUGCUGAAACGAAUGAGAAAGAGUUUUGAUACACUAUUUAUUCUUAUUGCCUGGAGCCUGUGGAAGCAAAGAAACGGGCAAGGGUGUUUGGUAAUGUGACUUAGCAACACGAUAUCCCUCAAUUUUUAAACCACAUUCUUGACGAGGUUCAGACUUGGAGAUUAGCAGGAGCUAGGUGUUUUCAAAUCUUUAUGAGAGAGUACCUUGUUUUGCUUCAGGCAUAUCUUGUAACAUAUUCUCUGCCUUCUGUAAAACUAUGAUACACAAUUUUCGUACUCUAAAAAAAUGGUCUUCUUCCCAUUACUAUUUUCAUACAAAUAGAUACAAAUGUGAAUACGAAUGUUAUAGAUACGAAUGUAAAGCAAGUGUUACUUGAAUAUCGACACAUAUCGCAUGUUUACUCGAUUCAAAACAGAUAUGAAUAAUAGCGACAUUUCAUUAUAGAAAAUAAGUUAAUAGCUAUGUCACACAAAAUAAUCAAUUUGCAGCAUACAAAAUAAGUCAAUGAUAGACAUGUUUAUGAAUAAAUACCACUAUAAUGCAUAAUAAUUUGGGAGGUUUACAUUUUUUUUUCCCUAACUUUGUCCCGACCUCAUCUUUACCCCUAAAUAAAAAUAGUGCUCAACUUUGCCCCUCUUCCGUUAAGUGCGCUUAUAGAAAUGUAACGGUCAAAGGCCUUUGACUGGACGGAAAAUGUACGGAAGGGCAUUUCUAUAAGAGCACUUAACGGAAGAGGGGCAAAGUUGAGCAUUGUUUUUAUUUAGGGGUAAAGAUGAGGUCGGGACAAAGUUAGGGGGGAAAUGGAAUUGGCCCUAAUAAUUUUUAGGUUUCAAACCUUUUGUGGAACAUGUUGGUAAAGGGGGGAAUAAUGUUUGACCUAGGCGGCCCAAGGGCGACCCAGCACCGUCGCCUUCCGGCCGGUCGGGAUCCCCGUACCACCAGUGAUGCUUCCAUGUACUCCCCUCGGGAGCACUAUGGUCUGGUUGUGGCCACGUCCACCCCUCGAGUGUUGGUUCUCCGAAUCCCUGACACGUCGAUGUAGAUUGGAUCGAGAAGGUUCAAUGUAGGAGUCCGAGCCCUACACUCUCGCUCUCUCACACACACUCACACACUCUUCCUAGCUCGAAUCAAUAUGACUCUCUUCCUCUAUCUCUUCGGGCAUCCUCUCUUACAAAGAUAGCUUUUGGAGCCAAAUAUUGUUAUAUUGAUUCAUCAAAAGCCAUAAAAACUCCAAAAGCACAUAUUUUGGAGCUUUUAUGGCUUUUUGGUCAAAGUGGAAAACACUACAAAAAAAUACACUUCCGUGAUGAUACGUGUUUGUCAAAGUAGGUCGCGUUUUUUGUCAUGCAUGUACAUCCAUGACGAUUUUAUGGCAGAAUCAAGAUAGUCAUAUAUGUACUGUCGUAAAAGUGUUCCAUGACAUUACCAAAAUUAUCAUCACGUAAGUGUCCACUUCCAUGACGAUAAAUCGCGCGUCACGGAAGUGCUUUUGUCGAGGAUGACCGACACGUGGCAUCCACCAUAAUGGAACGUCGUUAAGCUAUCGGGUCCGGUUUUGGAUCCGAUAACCCGUUAAUAGCCCCGACCAAUGGGGAUUUUCCACGUGUAAAAUCAUCAUUGGCUGGAGGAAACACGUGUCGGCUCAGCGUUGGGACAAAUGUCAUCCACUCAUUGGAUAGAAGGUGCCUAUGAUACGUCGACACGUGGCACGACCCAACAGAGGCCCAUUCCUGUGAAAAGGCCGGCCCAUGGAAAGCCUGUUAACGACAUGUUCGCAUAUAGCCCAUUUACAGCCCUCUAACCCAAGGCCCGUUACGCCCUAUCUAAAUUAGGCCCAGUAGCGUCAUCUGGGCCAUCCAAUAUGAUUCCAGCCCAUUUUAACUUUCGGCCCAUGUAUGGCCCAUGACGUCUUUCAGCCCAUAUGAGGUCCUUUGUAACUCUUGGCCCAUUAACUGCCCGUGGUGAAACUGAUCCGUAAUGAACAAUGUAUCACUUUAUACCCAUUAACGGCCCAUUAUUCCAUUGGGCCGUUUCCAGCCCAAGGUAUCUUUCGGCUUUCUUAGGGGCCAUUUAUUCUUGGGCUCAUUUCUAGCAUUCGGUUACUUACGGCCCAUUACUGUCAUUUUCUGCUUGUGGGCCAAAUUCAGCCCAUGGUUACAGUCGGCCCGUUUGUGGCUCGUUCAUACGUUGGGUUGUUUUCAUGUAAAAAAACGUUGGGCUGUUUUCAUAGAGUUAUCAAAUACGACCUAUUAACGGUCCGUUAUGGUCCACGAAUAGUACGGCACAUGAUUGGCGAAAUGAUGAUACACCCUGUAGAAGGCCCAUGGAUCCUACGGCCCGUAAAGGCCCAUGGAUCCUACGGUCGGUAGAAGGCCCAUGGCUCGUACGGCCCGUAGAAGGCCCAUGGUUCCCACGGCCCGUAGAAGGUCCAUGGAUCAUAUGGUCCGUGUAGAAGGCCAAUGGAUCCUACGGCCCAUAGUGAAGGAAAUAUGCCCUAGAGGCAAUAAUAAAGUUAUUAUUUAUUUCCUCAUAUCAUGAUAAAUGUUUAUUAUUCAUGCUAGAAUUGUAUUAACCGGAAACAUGAUACAUGUGUGAAUACAUAGACAAACAUAACGUCACUAGUAUGCCUCUACUUGACUAGCUCAUUAAUCAAAGAUGGUUAUGUUUCCUAACCAUAGACAUGUGUUGUCAUUUGAUUAACGGGAUCACAUCAUUAGGAGAAUGAUGUGAUUGACAUGACCCACUCCGUUAGCCUAGCACUUGAUCCUUUAGUAUAUUGCUAUUGCUUUCUUCAUGACUUAUACAUGUUCCUAUAACUAUGAGAUUAUGCAACUCCCGUUUACCGGAGGAACACUUUGGGUGCUACCAAACGUCACAACGUAACUGGGUGAUUAUAAAGGAGUACUACAGGUGUCUCCAAAGGUACAUGUUGGGUUGGCGUAUUUCGAGAUUAGGUUUUGUCACUCCGAUUGUCGGAGAGGUAUCUCUGGGCCCUCUCGGUAAUGCACAUCACUAUAAGCCUUGCAAGCAAUGUAGCUAAUGAGUUAGUUACGGAAUGAUGCAUUACGUAACGAGUUAAGAGACUUGCCGGUAACGAGAUUGAACUAGGUAUUGGAUACCGAUGAUCAAAUCUCGGGCAAGUAACAUACCGAUGACAAAGGGAACAACGUAUGUUGUUAUGCGGUUUGACCGAUAAAGAUCUUCGUAGAAUAUGUGGGAGCCAAUAUGGGCAUCCAGGUCCCGCUAUUAGUUAUUGACCAGAAACAAGUUCUAGGUCAUGUCUACAUAGUUCUCGAACCCGUAGGGUCCGCACGCUUAACGUUUCAUUGACGAUAUAGUAUUAUAUGAGUUAUGUAUGUUGGUAACUGAAUGUUGUUCGGAGUCACGGAUGAGAUCAUGGACAUGACGAGGAACUCCGGAAUGGUCCGGAGAUAAAGUUUGAUAUAUGUGAUAAUAGUGUUUGGUCUCCGGAAGAGUUCCGGAAUUCACCGGAAGGGGUUCCGGAUGUUUCCCAAAAUGUUUGGGUACGAGAACACGUUAUUUGGGCCAAAGGGGAAAGCCCACAAGGUUUUUGGAAAGCACAAAAGGAAGUUUUGCGGAGUCCAGGGGCCAUACGCCAGGGUCCCUGGCGUCUGGGUCCAGACGCCGGGAACCCUAGCGUCUGGCCCUGGAGUCCGAGAAGGACUCUUGCCUUUCGGGUGAAACCGACUUUGUGGAGGCUUUUACUCCAAGUUUCGACCCCAAGGCUCAACAUAUAAAUAGAGGGGCAGGGCUAGCACCAAAGACACAUCAAGAAACACCAAGCCGUGUGCCAGCAACCCCGUCCCCUCUAGUUUAUCCUCCGUCAUAGUUUUCGUAGUGCUUAGGCGAAGCCCUGCGGAGAUUGUUCUUCACCAACACCAUCACCACGCCGUCGUGCUGCCAGAACUCAUCUACUACUUGCCCGUCUUGCUGGAUCGAGAAGGCGAGGACGUCAUCGAGCUGAACGUGUGCAGAACUCGGAGGUGCCGUGCGUUCGGUACUUGGAUCGGUCGGAUCGUAAAGACGUAUGACUACAUCAACCGCGUUGAUAAACGCUUCCGCUUAGCGAUCUUCAAGGGUAUGAAGAUACACUCCUCCUCUCGUUGCUAUGCAUCACCAUGAUCUUGUGUGUGCGUAGGAAAAUUUUGAAAUUACUACGUUCCCCAACAGUGGCAUCCGAGCCUGGUUUUAUGCGUAGAUGUCAUAUGCACGAGUAGAACACAAGUGAGUUGUGGGCGAUACAAGUCAUACUGCUUACCAGCAUGUCAUACUUUGGCUCAGCGGUAUUGUGAGAUGAAGCGGCCCGGACUGACAUUACGCGUACGCUUACACGAGACUGGUUUCACUGUUACGAGCACUCGUGCUUAAAGGUGACUGGCGGGUGUCUGUCUCUCUCACUUUAGCUGAAUCGAGUGUGGCUACGCCCGGUCCUUGCGAAGGUUAAAACAGCAUUAACUUGACGAACUAUCGCUGUGGUUUUGAUGCGUAGGUAAGAACGGUUCUUGCUAAAGCCCGUAGCAGCCACGUAAAAUUUGCAACAACAAAGUAGAGGACGUCUAACUUGUUUUUGUAGGGCAUGUUGUGAUGUGAUAUGGUCAAGACGUGAUGCUAUAUUUUAUUGUAUGAGAUGAUCAUGUUUUGUAACCGAAGUUAUCAGCAACUGGCAGGAGCCAUAUGGUUGUCGCUUUAUUGUAUGAAAUGCAAACGCCCUGUAAUUGCUUUACUUUAUCACUAAGUGGUAGCGAUAGUCGUAGAAGCAAUAGAUGGCGGAACGACAACGAUGCUAUGAUGGAGAUCAAGGUGUCGCGCCGGUGACGAUGGUGAUCACGACGGUGCUUCGAAGAUGGAGAUCACAAGCACAAGAUGAUGAUGGCCAUAUCAUAUCACUUAUAUUGAUUGCAUGUGAUGUUUAUCCUUUAUGCAUCUUAUGUUGCUUUGAUUGACGAUAGCAUUUUAAGAUGAUCUCUCACUAAAUUAUCAAGAAGUGUUCUCCCUGAGUAUGCACCGUUGCGAAAGUUCUUCGUGCUGAGACACCACGUGAUGAUCGGGUGUGAUAGGCUCUACGUUCAAAUACAACGGGUGCAAAACAGUUGCACACGUGGAAUACUCAGGUUAAACUUGACGAGCCUAGCAUAUAACAGAUAUGGCCUCGGAACAUGGAGACCGAAAGGUCGAGCGUGAAUCAUAUAGUAGAUAUGAUCAACAUAUUGAUGUUCACCGUUGAAACUACUCCAUCUCACGUGACGAUCGGACAUGGUGUAGUUGAUAUGAAACUACUCCAUCUCCGCCGCCUACUCCAUCUCAGGUUCUUGAGUUGAAGCUUUGACUUUCAGCAUAGGUGUCCUCUUGGCAGGAACCUUCCUGUUUAGUCUUGGCUUGGUGGCUGCAGCUGAGCCAUACUCCUUCUUGAGCACUAUCUUCUUGGAAGUGGCAUCAUCCUCUUCUGCCACAUAGUCUUCAUCCUUAGAGUCUUAGGUUUUCUUCCUUCUGGCCCUUGUGGCAGCUUUGGGCAAAUUUCUUGGGGUGCUCUUGCUGCCCUCAUCUGAGGAACUAGAGGGACUAGUGCCCUCACUCAUGUGAACUUGCUCCUCUUCCCUGUUCUGGCUGUCACUUUGGUCUGACAUGCUGCAAACACUGACUGUGUGAUCCUGUGAAUAGAUGUAGAUGAGAUAGAAUGGAUGAGCAUCACAAAAUGCAGAGGUUUUUGCAAAAGAAUGAUUCAAAAACUUAGUUUUAGUUUUCCACAGAAAGCAUUUUGGAUCAACCGAUUUGUAAACUCGGUGAUACCGAAGCAGCUUUUGGAACCUAAACUAGUGAACUCGGUCAAACCGAGUCACAGUUUGGUGGCAUCGAGACUGCUAGGGUUUCACAGAAUUCUAAACUCGGUCACACCAAUUUGCAAUUCUCGGUCAAACCGAGAAUCACUUGUGAAUGGCUUUAGCCGAAUCGGUGGAACUGAGUUUUUCAACUCGGUGGGUCCGAGAUGGUUUCGGCGGAAACCUAACCCUAAUUUUUCAAUUCACAUCUAAUCUAAGGAUUGUUUUGACUAGAUAGAUUCAUCUCAAUCAUGGCAAGAAUCAUUAUGAACACAAUGUGCUAGGAAUCGGACGGGGAUAGCACUGUGAUCGAGUCCAUACCCUAGUUUGGCGAUGAACUCGCUACGGCGACAACGGCGGGGUAGAAUUCCGUUGAUGGCGGCGGAGACCAGCGACUGGAGGCGGCUAGCGACGAAGUCGACGAUCCGGAGACCCUGGAGGCAGAGCGAGCUAUGCGCGGGCGAAGGGGUUUGGAGAAAGUUUCCAAAUUUUUGCUCGUGAGUAUAUAUAGCCCGACCCUGUCGGUGUGACCGAGUGGACAACUCGGUGGCACCGAGAUGCAUAACUGUUGACAUUUACAGCAACUCGAUGAGACCGAAAAGUUCAAAUCGGUUGCACUGAGAUUGAAAACCUAGAUCGACUUAGUGAUCUCGGUAUGACCGAAAUGGAAGAAUCGGUCAGACCGAAACGCACAAAGAAGUUUUGGAAGUUUAAGUCUAUGACGAAUUGGGGACUCCGAGUGCUCCUCACACAGAGUGGUUCGAAUCUGACUUGAUCAAAUUUUGUGAUGUAGCAUGAAUAGAGUUUGAGAUAAGAAAAGCAUAGAUAGCUAGAGAAGGUUCUUAGGCAUUCUUGUUCAUCCACUUGGCAAAAGAAAAAGAAGCCAAUCAAUCAAAGCAACAAGUGGAUGUCCUUGAAUGAGUUAAAUAUGCAACCAACAUGCUCACACAAUAAAAUGGCAAAUGAAAUAUGUGGCAAAGCAUGCACAACCAAUUCUAGCAUCUAUCAAGCAAUUGGCGAUGACUAGGUCAUCUAUAUAUGAGUAUAUUGACUUAGGAGCCAAAUGAGAACAUUUGAUCAUAGGUCAUACUCAUCGUUUAAGCUCAAGUGGGGUUACCACUUUUACAUAAUGCAUUGAUGUGUUCACAUCAUUAGCGCUGCUUUGACUCAUUUCUUAGAGUUAAGCUCCCCCUAGAUGUGAGAUCCCCCCUAAGAGGGAUGAACUAACCUUGGGUUUUCUCGAUGAUGACUUCAUGUAGGUGUUGAAGAUGUGGAUGCUCAAUGUUGAUGAAGAUCAUUUGGAGCAAUCCUUUGGAGUGAGUUGCACUUUCAAUACCUACACGGGUUAGUCCCACAAGGAACAAACAAGUAUAUCCAUAGACAUAGAGUGAUGCACACACAAGAUGAUGUCCAUGAAAGCAUUAGGUUACCUUGUCACUUGUCUUACCAACAUGAGGGUUCGUGACUCCUUGAACUAGUGCAAGAUGUGGAAGUUGAUUGCACUUGUCGUUGCCAAUAGGAUAUGAGUGAAGAAUGUUGGCGGAGUCACCCUCAAGAACUCUCUAGUUCUUCUUCUUCGGGAUCCACAUCAUCUUGAUGGGAAUCCUUGGAGUUGUAGUCGUACUUGAUGAAGUAGAACUUGACGUAGUCUUGGGAACCCACUUGACCAAGGCCUUUGGAGCUUCUUCAAAUGCAUCAAUCUCCUCUUGAAGCUUGCCCUUGCCUUUUUGCUUGUGGUCUUGUGGUGGAAGAUCAUCUUGAGCUUGUGUCCCCUUGAAGGAAGUAGGAUCAUACUUCUCUUGUUGAGGAACAAACUUCAUCUUGGGGUAUUGAUCUUCUUCCCACUCAACUCAAUUGGCAUUGAACUUUCGUUCAAAACCAACACCUUGAUUCUUCCGGUGCCUUCCUUCCUUGCGUACAAUUUCCUCGAAUUGCUUACUCCCGGCAAGGCUCUUGUAAACACGUUUCUCUAUGAUUCCCUUCAAUAAGCUAUUUUCUUGCUCAAGUGUAACUUGGCUAAGAGAAUCAUUAGUGGAAUCAAGAGUACUACUAGAAGCAACAAUAUUGGAUUUAGCAUGAUCAUUGUUACUACUAGAGGAAGAAUCCUUCUUGUUUUUGUUACUAGACUUGACUUGAGGCAUGUAAGUAGAUAAGAGUAAACGCUUGGCAAUGUAAGAAGAACUUUUCUUACGAAGAUCAUCAUUGAUUGCCUUUAAGAACUCAUGCUCUUGCUCAAGAUUGAGCUUUUCAAAGCGUAACUUCUCAUGAGUCCUUAAAAGUUCUCGAUGAUCUUCCAAGAUAGUUUCAUGAGCUAACUUAAGAGUGUUUAGUUCUUUAGUUAGGAGCUCAAUUUUCUCCUUAUCAUCGUCAUUCAUUUUAUCUUGAUUAGCAUGAUUAAUUGACAUUUCAUCAUAGUAUUCAUCACUAGAGUUGUCAAUAAGUAAAUCAUCAUCACCUAACAAGUCAUCUUCAUCACUAUUGAAAUCAACAUACUCAUGGUGUGUUAACUUUGGGCCUUUAGCCAUGAAUCAUCUUCCAAUUCCUUCAUUUGGUGAAUCAAAUAUGUCGUAGGAGUUGGUUGACACAAGUGUUAGACCGGCAACACCUUCAUCUUGAGUAUGUUCGGAGUCAGAGUGAUAGCUUCUCUCGGAGUGAUGUUCAGAGUCGGAACCGGAUACCCAUUCACCAACAUGAGCUUGAUGUCUUCGCUUUGUGUAGCUCUUUGAUGACUUGUCCAUCCUUUCUGAAUCCUUCCUUCUCUGGGAUGUUCUUCGUUCAUACAGAUCAUCUCUACUCCUCUCUCUUGGCGGUGGUUCUUCUCUUCUACUUCUUCUCUUGGGAGAAUCUUCUCUUCUUUUGUAGGGAGCCGUACACUCAUUGGAGUAGUGUCCGGGUCUCCCACAAUUGUAGCAAUUUCGCUCUCGACUGGAAGAUCUUUUGUCAUUGUAGGACCUUGACUUGGAGCUUCUCUCUUUGCUUCUACUCUUGUAGAAUUUGUUGAAGUUCUUCACCAUUAAGCUCAAUUCUUCAUUGAAGGUUUGUUUCUCACUUGAUGAUGUAGGAGCUUCACAUGAGGCUUUGUAAGCACCACUUGACUUGUUGUGAAGUUCCUCCUUAUCCUUGAGUGACAUCUCAUGAGCAACAAUUCUUCCAAUGACUUCCGUUGGCUUGAGAUUCUUGUAAUUGGGCAUCAUUUGGAUCAAUGUGCACACGGUAUCAUAUUUUCCAUCCAAUGCUCUUAGGAUCUUCUUGAUGAUGAAUUUGUCGGUCAUCUCUUCACUUCCUAAGCCCGCAAUCUCAUUUGUGAUAAGAGCAAGCCUAGAGUACAUUUCAGCGAUACCUUCACCAUCCUUCAUUUUAGCGAUAGCUUCUCUCAAGUUGACUUUGGAGCACUCCAACUUGGAUUCCUUGACGGAGUCAGUACCUUCAUGCAUAUCAAUCAAAGUAUCCCAAAUUUCCUUUGCAUUCUCAAGGCGGCUGAUUUUGUUGAAUUCUUCAGGGCACAAUCCAUUGAAGAGGAUAUCACAAGCUUGAGCGUUGUAUUGCAGCAUCUUCAAUUCUUCCGCGCUAGCUUCACGGUUUGGUUCCCUCCCAUCAAAGAAUUCACCAUGCAAGCCAAUACACGCAAUAGCCCAAACGGCGGGGUUAUGUCCGAGAAUAUGCAUUUUCAUCUUAUGCUUCCAACUAGCAAAAUUAGUACCAUCAAAGUAAGGACCUCUACGGUGAUAAUUUCCCUCGCUAGACGCCAUACUCUCCUAGGUUGUGAAACCAAGGCUAUGACCACCAAAAGCUAUGGAAAUCAAAGCAAAUGGAGACCAAGGAUCUAAUACCACUUGUAGGAUCAGAAGUAUGUCUAGAGGGGGGGUGAUUAGAUUACUUGACCAAUUAAAAACUUAACCUUUUCCCAAUUUUAGUCUUUGGCAGAUUUUAGCUAUCUUAGCACAAGUCAAGCAAUCUUCACACAAUUCAAACAAGCAUGCAAAGAGUAUAUGAGCAGCGGAAAGUAAAGCAUGCAACUUGCAAGAAUGUAAGGGGAAGGGUUUGGAGAUUUCAAACGCAAUUUGGAGACACGGUGAUUUUUGAGCCGUGGUUCCGAUAGGUGGUGCUAUCGUACAUCCACGUUGAUGGAGACUUCAACCCAUGAAGGGUAACGGUUGCGCGAGUCCACGGAGGGCUCCACCCAAGACGGGUCCACGAAGAAGCAGCCUUGUCUAUCCCACCAUGGCGGUCGCCCACGAAGGACUUGCCUCACUAGCGGUAGAUCUUCACGAAGUAGGCGAUCUCCUUGCCCUUACAAACUCCUUGGUUCAACUCCACAAUCUUGUCGGAGGCUCCCAAGUGACACCUAGCCAAUCUAGGAGACACCACUCUCCAAGAAGUAACAAAUGGUGUGUUGAUGAUGAACUCCUUGCUCUUGUGCUUCAAAUGAUAGUCUCCCCAACACUCAACUCUCUCUCACAAGAUUUGGAUCUGGUGGAAAGAAGAUUUGAGUGGAAAGCAACUUGGGGAAGGCUAGAGAUCAAGAUUCAUAUGGUAGGAAUGGAAUAUCUUGGCCUCAACACAUGAGUAGGUGAUUCUCUCUCAGAAAUGGUAAGUUGGAAGUGUAGGUUUGUUCUGAUGGCUCUCUCCACGAAUGAAGAGGAGGUGGAGGGGUAUAUAUAGCCUCCACACAAAAUCUAACCGUUACACACAAUUUACCAAUCUCGGUGGGACCGAAUCAACAAACUCGGUCAGACCGAUUUAGUAAACCUAGUGACCGUUAGUGAUUUCGGUGGGACCGACAUGCAACUUGGUAGGACCGAUGUGGUUAGGGUUAGGGCAUAACGUAAUCUCUGUGAGACCGAUUACACAUACUCGGUGAGACCGAUUUUGGUAAUAAGCUAACCAAAGAGUUGGUUAGGUAAACUCGGUGGGACCGAUUCACUCUUUUCGGUUGGACCAAACAUUACGAAGAGGAAAUAGAGAGUUUACAUUGCAAUCUCGGUGGGACCGAUCACUCACUUCGGUUAGACCGAAACGUUACGAAGGGAAACAAAGAGAUUACAAUCCCAUCUCGGUGAGACCGAGAUCCCUAUCGGUGAGACCAAUUUGCCUAGGGUUUGUGGCAGUGGCUAUGACAUCCGAACUCGGUGGCGCCGGAUAGAAAGAAUCGGUGGGGCCGAGUUUGACUUUAGGUUUAGGUCAUAUGUGGAUAUGAGAAAGUAGUUGAGGGUUUUUGGAGCAUAUCACUAAGCACUUGAAGCAAGAAGCUCAUUAAGCAACACCUCAUCCCUCCUUGCUAGUAUUGGCUUUUCCUAUAGACUCAAUGUGAUCUUGGAUCACUGAAAUAUAAAAUGUAGAGUCUUGAGCUUUUGAGCUUGAGCCAAUCCUUUUAUCCUUAGAAUUUUGAGGGAUCCACUUUCCUCAUCCAUUCCAUGCCAUUCAUUGAGCUUUUCCUGAAAUGUUUGUCUUGGAAUGAUGUUAGCUCAAUGAGCUAUAUGUUGUUUGGAAUUACCAAAACCACCUAGGGAUAGUUGUACUUUCACUUGUGCAAGCGGUAGUGGCCAGUAACUCGAACACUAAACCAAGACAGGACUUUGGGGUUGUCUCACUGUCUUCAAGAUAGUCUUCCUUAGGUGUUUUGUCAGCUUUGUUGGAGACCAACAAGGAUGUAUCACUAUCCUGAACCUUAUCUGCACUACUUCCUUUACCAUUUCUUAAUAAGGCACUCUUCCCCAAUAUUCUAUCAGCAUUUUAAAAGAAGGAACAAGUAGACACAUAACAAGUUUAGCAUGUACUAGUAUAUGAAACUCAUUCGGUGAACCAGUUCAUUAGUAAGGUGGACAGUAUUAAACUACCAAGUCUUCUAUUGCCAAGUACUAGUACAUAAUAAAAGCAUUAAACAAACAUAUAUCUAUGUCCUAUGGUCACUGCAUUGUCUUCCAAAUCAAAAUAGAGACAUGGUUCAAAUCAUAUCAGUUCAAGACAAAGCAGCAGUGAAAGAAUACAAACCGUGGGAAACUACACGGCACAACAAGAUUUCAGAUGGGUACCACGGGUCUACAUGUACAACAACACUAUUGGCUCUGUUGUGAUGCUAGUAAUGUGCAUGAUAUGAGAAGUCAAUUGUAUACACAAUUGAAAUUGAAAUCAACAGAGCUAUUGAUAAGAGCAAACCUGUUAAAGAAACAUGUGUGAACAUACCUGUUGUGCCAUUGGAGUUUCGAUUGGAUUCUUCAAUUUUGUAUGAGUACAUACAGUGAUACAAGAGCAAAGCAGUAUGCACGAAAGCAAUCAUAGUUAAAAAAGGCGCGCCUAAGCGAGCGCUUAAGCGCGCCCAGGCUCUAGGUGUUGGCAAAACGCAUUGCGCAUAACUACGCUUAAUCUGUGCAUAACUGCGCAUAAGCAUGCGCUUUGGUCAGUAAAGCGCAAGGCGGUGGCAAAAUGCACAAUUAACGCCUAGCGCUUUUUUGAACUAUGAUAGCAAUGGAAUCUUAAAUUAGACCAGUUGUUCUUCAGGUUUAGGCACUUGUUCUACAUGAACAGAGUACAGUAAGAUGCAAGAAUAUAGUACUUAAAAAUAGAAAAUGAGCUCGUAGACCUUACCACAUUCUUGGUUCGGGACCAGUACAGAACAAGGCGUUCCCAGUCAUCGUCCAGUAAAUGUGUCUCAGGAGAACGUAAGUGAAUUUGAUGAGUUUCUUUGCAUGUGAAGGACGUUUUCUUCAGGUAAUUUCGAUACUGCCACCAAGCAUUCUUGAAGAUAGCAGAGGUAUUAGCACAGGUUACCUCAUCCUGAGUUUCCAAAUCGGUCCUUCUCUAUAGAGAAAAAUGGGAAAAUUUGUUGUAUUAUAACCAUCAUGGAGGUAGGAUGUAUGGGACAAAGCAAAAUAAUUGCCAUGAAUAACAUUACUUACACAUAACUCCUGGACAAACACCUGCAACUGGCAUUUUCCUUCAUCUUCAGUAUAAUAUUUCCAAGAUGGGAAGAUACGCACAUACGAUUUAACAACAUCAAAUGCAAUAGAUGCUAAACUACGACUAGCUGGUUGUGCUUCCUCCACAUGAAUAGGCGUACUAACUGGUGGAGUUGGAGUUCGCCAUGGUAGUACUGGCCCUUUGGGCACUGGAGCUGCCUUACUAACUGCUCUUGUUUGGAAGCUCUGUGGUGGAGAUGGUGUUGUGUCAACAGGAACUGGGUUACUAUCUGCUGGGGUUGGGGUUAGAUUGGGUGAAGCUAGUUCUCUGUCCAUCGCAGUAGGGCUACAAUCUGUGAGAGUUUGGGUUAUGUGUGGUAGGGCUGGUUCUCUUGCAUGUACAACCGGGGUGCUAUCUCCACCAAGAGGUAGCACUGUUUUAUUUGAAGACCGUGUUUUUAGUCCGCUAGAUACUGGCAUCACCGCUCCAAUUCAAAUGGCUGAUAAACAGGAAACAUAGUUGAAUGUAUAGACAUUGUAUGAGAGACAGAUGCAAUAGAUAGUGUGGAAAAAAGAGGGCAUGAAAUUGUUGACAUGUAUAUUUUUUAACUAAAAUGGAUAGCAUGACAUAAUUUCACAUAUAUGAUGUCUAUCUAAACUGGAUAGCAUAACAUAACAUAAUUCAAAGAUAUGAUGAAUAACUAAACAAGAUCGCAUGACAUAAUUCACCUACAUGUUAUCUAAGUAAUUAGGAUUGCAUCAUUUAAUUCACAUAUGUGAUUUAUAUGCUAAACAGAGGGCAUUCGAUAUGAUGUCUGUACUAAGAACAUGGUGUUGAAUAUUGUGUAUAUGAUGUCUAAACUAUGCAAUGCAAGACACCAUAUGCAUGAUAUGAGCAGCAUAACCAUGCCAAGUUAGAGCAUACACCUCGGUGGGGGAAUAGGACUGGUCAUCUGUCUCUGAAUCCAUCUAUGAGGAGCUAUCGGGACCCAACAAGAGAUCUGCUUCGACAGGUAGCACUGCCUGCUCUGAAGGCCUUGUUUUCACUCCAGAUUUUUUCAUCUCCCACCCAAAUGGCUAAUUCACAGGAAGAGUAGUUUAAUGUACAAACAUUGUCGACAAAUGGAAAUGUAAUGAAGAAAAGGAUGGGCAAGAUAUCAUUCAAAUAUAUGAUGCCUGGUUAAACAGGAUGGCAUUGCACAUUUCACAUAUAUUAUGGCUGGCUAAAAGACAUGGGACUGCAUAAUUCCCAUAUAUGAUAUAGAAACUAAAUAGGUGGCAUUACAGAACAUGUUUAAACUAAGCAGAUGACAUAUAUGAUGUCAAAAGUAGGCACUGCAAGGCAACAUAUGCAUGAUAUGACUAACAUCAUCAUGCCAAGGUAGAGCAAACACCUUGGGGGUAAAUAGGAGUGGUCAGCAGCGUCUGAAUCCGCCUCAGAACAGAUAUCUUCCUCUGGAUUACAAUCUGGAGAGGGGUGGGGAGGGUUUGCCAUUGAACCCACCGUGGAGCGAUGUCUGCAUGAUAUUGUAUUGCCGCACAAAACUCUUCUUUUUUUCUCUACAUGUUCAGCAUGACUGUGUACAAUAUCUAACAUGCAUACAAAAAAUAUAUUAUGAGAUUAUGUAAGGAGAGCAUGCAGAAAUUUAGAGUGAUGGUAACAACCAGUGGAUGGAUCCAAAAAUAAUGAUAGCAGGCUGAUGAUUUCUUUAAUUUAAUAAAAAGACAGAUGAUGGUUGCUUUACUAUUUGUUUCCCACCCAAGAUGAACAACAUAGGCAUACCCUAGAUGAACAAGAUAUUAGAAUGUUAUUCUGCCACUAAUGCACUUGGUCUUCAUGCAUAGGAUUUUGAAAAGUAGGUCCAGGUGGAUGUUUUGCUUCAUUCCUUUCAACAAAAUGCAUGAAUAAUUGAAUAGUAGAGUGCCAUUGGAAAAUUCCCUAUUGCUAUGUUUUUCCGUUGAACCAAAAUAGCCCUAAUGGAUCGACAUGAAUGUAUAGUAAUAAGUGAUGCAACAAGUGUACAACCUCUUUGCCCUAGCCAUGUCGACCUCAACAUCAUUGGGUUGGUCGCUGAAGCAGUUGAGGUAGAGGUGGCUGUCGGAGGUGUGGAGGAAGAUCUGAGGAAUCUGUAGACGGCAUCCAGGGCACUGCUCUGUUGUGAUGGACCAUUCUGUCGUUGGAGCGGCUCCGGUGAGGUGUAAGACGUCAAGGCUGAAGCAGCACAAGACAUACAUCGUCAAUCUCAAGUGGGAUUCUAAUAGCAUCUCCAAUAGAUGAUGUAAAAUAGAUGUAAAAUUUACAUCACCAAAAACCACCUGACUACAACAGAUGAGGUAAAAACUGUUGAAUCUGGACUUAACUGCCGAAACUGAAAUUUAUUGUGGAAUCUGAAUGUUACUGUCGAAACUGAACGCAAUGGUAGCAGAGAGGCACUUGACAUGUAGUUUAGGGAGGGCCUGUAGUUCAUCUUCAACAUGCACCCCCGGAGCCGCCAGCCACCACCGGCUGAACCACCAGCCCCAGCGCCGCCUUGCCGCCCUAAAACAACUCCCCACCACCGGUCUGCCGCCGCCCCGGCCAGCCCUCUAGGCCCCCCGCCCCCACCCUGAACCCUAAUAUAGAUAGUGGGGUACCACUCCGGCGAGCCCCUGUCCCUGCUGCGGGUGGUUCUUCCUUAACUCCGGCGAGCCCCCCCACCCCCUGAAAAUUGACUGGCUCAAAAGUAGAUUCAGUCCAUCGAAGUGUAGCUAAAUCGGAGUAGAGCAGCAGCACGAGCGAGGGGGAGAGUAGCAGCAGCAGNNNNNNNNNNNNNNNNNNNNNNNNNNNNNNNNNNNNNNNNNNNNNNNNNNNNNNNNNNNNNNNNNNNNNNNNNNNNNNNNNNNNNNNNNNNNNNNNNNNNNNNNNNNNNNNNNNNNNNNNNNNNNNNNNNNNNNNNNNNNNNNNNNNNNNNNNNNNNNNNNNNNNNNNNNNNNNNNNNNNNNNNNNNNNNNNNNNNNNNNNNNNNNNNNNNNNNNNNNNNNNNNNNNNNNNNNNNNNNNNNNNNNNNNNNNNNNNNNNNNNNNNNNNNNNNNNNNNNNNNNNNNNNNNNNNNNNNNNNNNNNNNNNNNNNNNNNNNNNNNNNNNNNNNNNNNNNNNNNNNNNNNNNNNNNNNNNNNNNNNNNCUCCCUCCGGCCGGGUGUCAAAACAGGGUCCCGAUUUGGUUUUCAUGGCUAAAAAGGCUUGCGGCGGUGGAACUUCUCAUCUAGGGUUCUUUUCGGAGGUUACUAUAUAUACGGGUACUUUGCGUUGGAAUCAAGUCAGGGGGGGGGGGGGCCAAGGGCCCCACAAGCUCGGGAGGUGCGCCCCCAAGCUUGUGGCCCCCUCAGUCAUCUCCUGGUCCAGCUCCGGUGCUCCGUGGGUCUCUUCUGGUCCAUCAACGAUCACCGUAAAUUUUUCAGCCCAUUUCAAGAACUUUUAUUUCUGCACAGAAAACAACACCACGGUAGUUCUGCUGAAAACAGCGUCAACCCGGGUUAGGUCUAUUUAAAUCAUACCAAAACCAUAUAAAAUUGUUGUAAACAUGGCAUGGAUACUUCAUAAAUUAUAGAUACGUUGGAGACGUAUCACCGGGGCACUAGCUCCGGGUACCCCAAAGAUCCAGGGACCCAGGGCACCCAUACACGGCUAAGACAGAGGCAAACCUCUCUGGUGCCUCAUGGUACCCGAACCACAAGGGACUCGGGCACCCAAUCCUCUAUGUGGGGUGAGGGAGUCCUGGAUUAGGGGGUAUCCGGAUAGCCGGACUAUGUACAUCGUCCGGACUAUUGAAGCAUGAAGAUACAAGACUCAAGACUUCGGCCCAUGUCCGGAUGGGACUCUCCUUUGCGUGGAAGACAAGCUUGGCGAUUAGGAUAUUAUGUUUCCUUCCUUGUAACCGACUCAUGUAAACCCUAGCCUUCUCCGUGUCUAUAUAAACCGGAGAGGAUGGUCCUUAGAAGGCCGAUCACAAUCACAAUCAUACCAUCAUAGGCUAGCUCUUAGGGUUUAGCCUCUACGAUCUCGUAGUAGAUCUACUCUUGUACUACUCAUAUAUUCAAUAUUAAUCAAGCAGGAAGUAGGGUUUUACCUCCAUCGAGAGGGCCCGAACCUGGGUAAACAUUGUGUCCCUUGCUUCCUGUUACCAUCAGCCUAAGACGCACAGAUCGGGACCCCCUACCCGAGAUCCACCGGUUUUGACACCGACAUUGGUGCUUUCAUUGCGAGUUCCUCUGUGCCAUCGCUUCAAGGCUUGAUGGCGUCUUCAAUCGUCAACAACACGGUCCAGGGUGAGACUUUUCUCCCCGGACAGAUCUUUGUGUUCGGCGGCUUCGCGCUGCGGGCCAAUUCGCUUGGCCAUCUGGAGCAGAUCGACAUCUACGCCCCUGGCCACCAGAUUAGGUUCGAAAACUUGAACUACACGACGGAUGUUCGCAGAGAUUUGAUCUUUGACGGAUUCGGCCCUAUGCCAGGAGCGUCGGACAGUCACGGCGAGCACGGCCUAGACCUGUUGUCGGACAAUGCUCAGGACAUCAUCCCUACAGCAACCCCGGAUCUAAAUCCGGAGCAGAUUGUGUUGCCCAAGGACGGAGGGGUGGACCCCGCCCCGCAGGCCGCACACUCAUCGGCGGUGGAGCCAAACACAGGUCUCAUCUCUGUGGAGGCCUGUAACCCCGGACCCUCGGACUCGUAUUCGGCUGUUGGUUCCGGUCCACAUACCCUCGAGCCAGCCAAACAAGGUUUGGCUCUGGUAAUGGAGUUUACAGUUGCGGACGUCUUUCAGCGCUCGCCCUUCGGCGACAUGCUGAGCUCAUUAAAGUCUCUCUCUGUGUCAGGAGGCUCCGGGCCGAACUUUGUCCGGCCUGAGUGGGAAGCAGGCGACGAAGGAAUUUGUUGCCCACCCACCACCCACUUCAUUGCCACGAUCGACGAUUUAACCGACGUGCUCAACUUCGAGUCCGAAGAUAUCGACGGUAUGGAUGACGAUGCGGGAGACAUACAGGAUCCACCGCUCAUAAGGCGGUGGAUGCCCACCUGCUCAUACGAUAUAUACAUGGUGGACACUCCGAAGGAAACUAAUGGCGACGAGGCAACGGAGGAUAACCCCUCAGGGGGAAAAUGUUGGGGAACGUUGCAGAAAAUUAAAAUUUUUCCUACGGUUUCACCAAGAUCCAUCUAUGAGUUCAUCUAAGCAAUGAGUCAUGGGAGAGAGAUUGCAUCUACAUACCACUUUGUAGAUCGCGCGGAAGCGUUCAAAAGAACGGGGUUGAAGUAGUCGUUCUCGUCGUGAUCCUAUCACCGGAGAUCCUAGCGCCGAACGGACGGCACCUCCGCGUUCAACACACGUACAGUCAGCGUGACGUCUCCUCCGUCUUGAUCCAGCAAGGGGGAAGGAGAGGUUGAUGAUGAAAGCUCCAGCAACAGCACAACGGCGUGGUGGUGGUGGAACAGCAGCACUCCGACAGGGCUUUGCCAAGCAUGUGACGGAGGAGGAAGAGGUGUAGCAGGGGGAGGGAGGCGCCAGAACUGCAGGGUGCGGCUGCCCCCCUCCCCCCUCCCUUUAUAUAGGCCCCCAGGGGGGGCGCCAGCCCUGGGAGAUCCAAUCUCCCAAGGGGCGGCGGCCAAGGGGGUGGAGUACCCCCCAAGCCAAGUGGGGCGCCCCCACCCUAGGGUUUCAACCCUAGGCGCAGGGGGUGGACCAAGGGGGGCGCACCAGCCCACUAAGGGCUGGUUCCCCUCCCCACUUUGGCCCUUGGGGCCCUCCGGGAUGGGUGGCCCCACCCGGUGGACCCCCGGGACCCUUCCGGUGGUCCCGGUACAAUACUGGGUGACCCCGAAACUUUCCCGAUGGCCGAAAUAUCACUUCCUAUAUAUAAUUCUUCACCUCCGGACCAUUCCGGAACUCCUCGUGACAUUCGGUAUCUCAUCCGGGACUCCGAACAACAUUCGGUAUGCUGCAUACUCAUAUUCAUACAACCCUAGCGUCACCGAACCUUAAGUGUGUAGACCCUACGGGUUCGGGAGACACGUAGACAUGACCGAGACGGCUCUCGGGCAAUAACCAACAGCGGGAUCUGGAUAACCAUGUUGGUUCCCACAUGCUCCUCGAUGAUCUCAUCGAAUGAACCACGAUGUCGAGGACUCGAACAACCCCGUAUACAACUCCCUUUGUCAAUCGGUACGUUACAUGCCCGAGACUCGAUCGUCGGUAUCCCAAUACCUCGUUCAGUCUCAUUACCGGCAAGUCACUCUACUUGUACCAUAAUGCAUGAUCCCGUGACCAAACACUUGGUGACUUUGAGCUCAUUAUGAUGAUGCAUUACCGAGUGGGCCCAGAGAUACCUCUCCGUCAUACGGAGUGACAAAUCCCAGUCUCGAUCCGUGUCAACCCAACAGACACUUUUGGAGAUACCUGUAGUGCACCUUUAUAGUCACCCAAUUACGUUGUGACGUUUGGUACACCCAAAGCACUCUUACGGUAUCCGGGAGUUACACGAUCUCAUGGUCUAAGGAAGAGAUACUUGACAUUGAAAAAGCUCUAGCAAAACAAACUACACGAUCUUGUGCUAUGCUUAGGAUUGGGUCUUGUCCAUCACAUCAUUCUCCUAAUGAUGUGAUCCCGUUGUCAAUGACAUCUAAUGUCCAUAGUCAAGAAACCAUGACUAUCUGUUGACCAACGAGCUAGUCAACUAGAGGCUCACUAGGGACAUGUUAUGGUCUAUGUAUUCACACGUGUAUUACGAUUUCCGGAUAAUACAGUUAUAGCAUGAAUAAAAGACAAUUAUCAUGAAUGAGGAAAUAUAAUAAUAACCCUUUUAUUAUUGCCUCUAGGGCAUAUUUCCAACAGAAAAGCUAGGCAUGGACGCCUCCAGCGCCGUUCCAAGCCCCGCCACAUCAAUAGCGGCCCCGGAGAUGAAAGCAAUCCAGAUAGUGCCGAAGAGGAAUACAUCCCUGAUCAGCCUACCUUCAAGCAGGCCGGACAUGCCGCAGUGGGAUACUUGGAGAGGGACAACUAUACACCCCCCUCCGAAGACGAGGUAAGUGUUGGGGGAACGUAGCAGAAAUUCAAAAUUUUCCUACGAGUCACCAAGAUCUAUCUAUGGAGAGACUAGCAACGAGGGGAAGGAGAGUGCAUCUACAUACCCUUGUAGAUCACUAAGCGGAAGCGUUCAAGAGAACGGCGUUGAAGGAGUCGUACUCGUCGUGAUCCAAAUCACCAGAGAUCCUAGUGCCGAACGGACGGCACCUCCGCGUUCAACACACGUACAACUCGAUGACGUCUCCCAUGCCUUGAUCCAGCAAGGAGAGAGGGAGAGGUUGAGGAAGACUCCAUACAGCAGCAGCACAACGGCGUGGUGGUGAUGGAGGAGCGUGGUAAUCCAGUAGGGCUUCACCAAGCACCGCGAGAGACAAGGAGAAAGAGAGGUAGGGCUGCGCCAGGGAGAGGUGGAAACUCUUGUCUCUGGCAGCCCCAAAACCUCAAGUAUAUAUAGGGGAGAGAGAGGGGGCUGCGCCCCCUCUAGGGUUCCCACCCCUAGGGGUGCGGCAGCCCAAAACCUAUCUAGGGUGGCGGCCAGGGGGGGAGAGGGGGAAACUUGCCCCCCAAGCAAGGUGGGGCGCCCCCUCCCCAAAACCCUAGGCGCCUUGGGCCCUUGUGGGGGGGCGCACCAGCCCACCUGGGGCUGGUCCCCUCCCACACUUGGCCCACGCAGCCCUCUGGGGCCGGUGGCCCCACCUGGUGGACCCCCGGGACCCUCCCGAUGGUCCCGGUACGUUACCGAUGACACCCGAAACUUUUCCGGUGACCAAAACAGGACUUCCCAUAUAUAAAUCUUUCCAUCCGAAUCAUUCCGGAACUCCUCGUGAUGUACGGGAUCUCAUCCGGGACUCCGAACAACAUUCGGUAACCACGUAUAUCUAUUCCCUAUAACCCUAGCGUCAACGAACCUUAAGUGUGUAGACCCUACGGGUCCGGGAACCAUGCAGACAUGAACGAGACGUUCUCCGGUCAAUAACCAACAGCGGGAUCUAGAUACCCAUGUUGGCUCCCACAUGUUCCACGAUGAUCUCAUCGGAUGAACCACGAUGUCAAGGACUCAAUCAAUCCCGUAUACAAUUCCCUUUGUCUAGCGGUAUUGUACUUGCCCGAGAUUCGAUCAUCGGUAUCCCGAUACCUUGUUCAAUCUCGUUACCGGCAAGUCUCUUUACUCGUUCCGUAACACAUCAUCCCGUGAUCAACCCCUUGGUCACAUUGUGCACAUUAUGAUGAUGUCCUACCGAGUGGGCCCAGAGAUACCUCUCCGUUACACGGAGUGACAAAUCCUAGUCUUGAUUCGUGCCAACCCAACAGACACUUUCGGAGAUACCCGUAGUGCACCUUCAUAGCCACCGAGUUAUGUUGUGACGUUUGGUACACCCAAAGCAUUCCUACAGUAUCCGAGAGUUGCACAAUCUCAUGGUCUAAGGAAAUGAUACUUGACAUUAGAAAAGCUCCAGCAUACGAACUACACGAUCUUUGUGAUAGGCUUAGGAUUGGGUCUUGUCCAUCACAUCAUUCUCCUAAUGAUGUGAUCCCGUUAUCAACAACAUCCAAUGUCCAUGGUCAGGAAACCAUAACCAUCUAUUGAUCAACGAGCUAGUCAACUAGAGGCUUACUAGGGACAUGGUGUUGUCUAUGUACCCACACAUGUAUCUGAGUUCCCUAUCAAUACAAUUAUAACAUGGAUAAUAAACGAUUAUCAUGAACAAGGAAAUAUAAUAAUAAUAACUAAUUUAUUAUUGCCUCUAGGGCAUAUUUCCAACAGUCUCCCACUUGCACUAGAGUCAAUAGUCUAUUUCACAUCGCCAUAUGAUUAACAUUGAAAGGUCACAUCGCCAUGUGACCAACAUCCAAAGAGUUUACUAGUGUCACUAAACUAGUUCACAUCGCCAUGCGAUUAAGACUCAAUGAGUUCUGGGGUUUGAUCAUGUUUUGCUUGUGAGAGAGGUUUUAGUCAACGGGUCUGCAACAUUCAGAUCCAUAUGUAUUUUGCAAUUCUCUAUGUCAUAUUGUAAAUGCUGCCUCCACGCUCCGCUUGGAGCUAUUCCAAAUGGUUGCUCCACUAUACGUAUCCGGUUUGCUACUCAUCGGAUAGGUGUUAAAGCUUGCAUCGACGUAACCCUUUACGCCGAACUCUUUAUCACCUCCAUAAUCGAGAAACAUGUCCUUAUUUACUCCAAGGACAAUUUUGACCGCUGUCCAAUGAUCCAUUCCUGGAUCAUUCUUGUACCCCUUGACUGACUCAUGGCAAGGCACAUUUCCAGUGCGGUACACAGCAUAUAUUACUAUAGAGCCUACGUCUGAAGCAUAGGGGACGACCUUCGUCCUUUCUCUCUCUUCUACCGUGGUCGAGCUUUAACUCUUAACUUCAUACCUUACAACUCAGGCAAGAACUCCUUCUUUGACUGAUCCAUCUUGAACACCUUCAAGAUCAUGUCAAGGUAUGUGCUCAUUUGAAAGUACCAUUUAGCGUUUUUGAUCUGAUCUUGAUGCUCAAUGUUUAAGCAGCUUAUUCCAGGUUUUCUAUUGAAAAACACCUUUCAAACAACCCUAUAUGCUUUCCAGAAAUUUUACAUUAUUUCUGAUCAACAAUAUGUCAACAACAUAUACUUAUCAGAAAUUCUAUAGUGCUCCCACUCACUUCUUUGGAAAUACAAAUUUCUCAUAAACUUUGUAUAAACCCAAAAUCUUUGAUCAUCUCAUCAAAGCGUACAUUCCAACUCCGAGAUGCUUACUCCAGUCCUUAGAAGGAUCUCUGGAGCUAGCAUACCUCUUAGCAUCCUUAGGAUCGACAAACCUUUCUGAUUGUAUCGCAUACAACCUUUCCUUAUGAAAACUGGUAAGGAAACUCGUUUUGACAUCCAUUUGGAAGAUUUCAAAAAUGUAGCUAAUGCUAACAUGAUUCCGACGGACUUAAGCAUCGCUAUGGAUGAGAAAAUCUCAUCGUAGUCAACUUCCUUGAACUUGUGAAAAACUCUUCGCCACAAGUCGAGCUUCACAGACGGUGACAUUACCAUCCACGUCCGUCUUCUUCUUAAAGAUCCAUUUAUCUCAAUGGCUUGCCGAUCAUCGGGCAAGUCCACCAAAGUCCAUGCUUUGUUCUGAUACAUGGAUCCUAUCUCGGAUUUCUAACCGUUUGUCAGAAUAUGGGUCCACCAUUGCUUCUCCAUAGCUCGUAGGUUCAUUUUGUAUGGCAACAUGACCUUCAAGACAGGAUUACUGUACCACUCUGAAGUAGUACACAUCCUUGACACCCUACGAGGUACGGCAGUGACUUGAUCCGAAACUUCAUGAUCACUAUCAUAAGCUUCUACAUCAAUUGGUGUAGGCGCCACAGGAACAACUUCCUGUGCCCUGCUACACACUAGUUGAAGUGAUGGUUCAAUAACCUCAUCAAGUCUCCACCAUCCUCCCACUCAAUUCUUUCGAGACAAACUUUUCCUCGAGAAAGGAUAUGAUUCAAGAAACAAUCCCUAUUGCUUUCGGAUCUGAAUUAGGAGGUAUACCCAACUGUUUUUGGGUGUCCUAUGAAGAUGCAUUUUAUCCGCUUUGGGUUCGAGCUUAUCACGAUGAAACUUUUCAUAUAAGCAUCGCAGCCCCAAACUUUCAAGAAACGACAACUUAGGUUUCUCCAAAUCAUAGUUCAAACGGUGUCAUCUCAACGGAAUUACGUGGUGCCCUAUUAAAGUGAGUGCGGUUGUCUCUAAUGCCUAACCCAUGAACGAUAGUGGUAAUUCAAUAAGAGACAUCAUGGUACGCACCAUAUAUAUCCAAUAGGGUGCAACUAUGAUGUUCGGACACACCAUCACACUAUGGUGUUCCAGGCGGUAUUAAUUGUGAAACAAUUUCCACAAUGUCUUAAUUGCGUGCCAAAGCUCGUAACUCAGAUACUCAUCUCUAUGAUCAUAUCAUAGACAUUUUAUCCUCUUGUCACGAUGACCUUCAACUUCACUCUAAAAUUACUUGAACCAUUCAAUAAUUCAGACUUGUGUUUCAUCAAGUAAAUAUACUCAGUAUCUACUCAAAUCAUCCGUGAAGUAAGAACAUAACGAUAUCCACUGCGUGCCUCAGCACUCAUUGGACUGCACACAUCAAAAUGUAUUACUUCCAACAAGUUGCUUUCUUGUUCCAUUUUACUGAAAACAAGGCUUUCAGUCAUCUUGCCCAUGUGGUAUGAUUUACAUGUCUCAAGUGAUUCAAAAUCAAGUGAGUCCAAACGAUCCAUCUACAUGGAGUUUCUUCAUGCGUACAUACCAAUAGACAUGGUUCGCAUGUCUCAAACUUUUCAAAAACGAGUGAGUCCAAAGAUCCAUCAACAUGGAGCUUCUUCAUGCAUUUAUACCAAUAUGACUUACAUGGUAGUGCCACAAGUAGGUGGUACUAUCAUUACUAUCUUAUAUCUUUUGGCAUGAACAUGUGUAUCACUACGAUCGAGAUUCAAUAAACCAUUCCUUUAGGUGCAAGACCAUUGAAGGUAUUAUUCAAAUAAAUAGAGUAACCAUUAUUCUCCUUAAAUGAAUAACCAUAUUGCGAUAGACAUAAUCCAAUCAUGUCUAUGCUCAACGCAAACACCAAAUAACAAUUAUUCAGAUUUAACACCAAUCUCGAUGGUAGAGGGAGCGUGCGAUGCUUGAUCACAUCAACCUUGGAAACACUUCCAACACAUAUCGUCAGCUCACCUUCAGCUAGUCUCCGUUUAUUCCGUAGCUUUUAUUUCGAGUUACUAACACUUAGCAACCGAACCGGUAUCUAAUACCCUGGUGCUACUAGGAGUACUAGUAAAGUACACAUUAACAUAAUAUAUAUCCAAUAUACUUUUAUUGACCUUGCCAGCCUUCUCAUCUACCAAUUAUCUAGGGUAAUUCUGCUCCAGUGGCUGUUCCCCUCAUUACAGAAGCACUUAGUGUCGGGUUUGGGUUCAACCUUGGGUUUUCACUAGAGCAACAACUGUUUUGCCGUUUCAUGAAGUAUCCCUUCUUGCCCUUGCCCUUCUUGAAACUAGUGGUUUUACUAACCAUCAACAAUUGAUGCUCCUACUUGACUUCUAUUUUCGCGGUGUCAAACAUCACGAAUACUUCAAGUAUCAUCAUAUCUAUCCCUGAUAUGUUAUAGUUCAUCAUGAAGCUCUAGCAGCUUGGUGGCAAUCACUUUGGAGAAACAUCACUAUCUCAUCUGGAAGAUCAACUCCCACUCGAUUAAAGUGAUUGUUGUACUCAGACAAUCUGAGCACAAGCUCAACGAUUGAGCUUUUUCUCCCUUAGUUUGGAGGCUAAGAAAAUUGUCGGAGGUCUUAUACCUCUUGACGUGGGCACGAGCCUGAAAUCCCAAUUUCAGCCCUCGAAACAUCUCAUAUGUUCCGCGACAUUUCGAAAACGUCUUUGGUGCCUCUACUCUAAACCAUUUAACUGAACUAUCACAUAGUUAUCAAAACGUGCAUGUCAGAUGUUCGCAACAUCCACAGACUACGUUCGAGGUCCAGCACACCAAGCGGUGCAUUAAGGACAUAAGCCUUCUACGAAGCAACGAGGACAAUCCUCAGUUCACAGACCCAGUCCGCAUAAUUGCUACUAUCAACUUUCAACUAUAUUUUUUCUAGGAAUGCAUCUAAAACUAAAGCGCGAGUUAUGACAUAAUCUGCAAAGAUCCUUUUUGACUAUGUUCAGGAUAAUUAAGUUCAUCUAAUGAACUCCCACUCAGAUAGACAUCCCUCUAGUUAUCUAAGUGAUUACAUGAUCCGAGUCAACUAGGCCGUGUCCGAUCAUCAUGUGAGACAGACUAGUUAUCAUCGGUGAACAUCUUCAUGUUGAUCGUAUCUACUAUACGACUCAUGCUUGACCUUUCGGUCUCUUGUGUUCCGAGGCCAUGUCUGUACAUGCUAGGCUCGUCAAGUCAACCUAAGUGUUUCGUGUGUGUAAAUCUGGCUUACACCUGUUGUAUGGGAACGUUAGAAUCUAUCACACCCGAUCAUCACGUGGUGCUUCGAAACAACGAACUUUCGCAACGGUGCAUAGUUAGGGGGAACACUUUCUUGAAAUUUUAAUGAGGGAUCAUCUUAUUUACUACCGUCGUUCUAAGCAAAUAAGAUGCAUAAACAUGAUAAACAUCACAUGCAAUCAAAAAGUGACAUGAUAUGGCCAAUAUCAUUUUGCUCCUUUUGAUCUCCAUCUUCGGGGCUCCAUGAUCAUCAUCAUCACCGGCAUGACACCAUGAUCUCCAUCAUCAUGAUCUCCAUCAUCGUGUCUCCAUGAAGUUGUCUCGCCAACUAUUACUUCUACUACUAUGGCUAACGGUUUAGCAAUAAAGUAAAGUAAUUACAUGGCGUUGUUCAAUGACACGCAGGUCAUACAAUAAAUAAAGACAACUCCUAUGGCUCCUGCCGGUUGUCAUACUCAUCGACAUGCAAGUCGUGAUUCCUAUUACAAGAACAUGAUCAAUCUCAUACAUCACAUAUCAUUCAUCACAUUCCUUUUUGGCCAUAUCACAUCACAUAGCAUACCUUGCAAAAACAAGUUAGACGUCCUCUAAUUGUUGUUUGCAUGUUUUAUGUGGCUGCUAUGGGUUUCUAGCAAGAACAUUUCUUACCUACGCAAAAACCACAACGUGAUAUGCCAAUUGCUAUUUACCCUUCAUAAGGACCCUUUUCAUCGAAUCCGAUCCGACUAAAGUGGGAGAGACUGGCACCCGCUAGCCACCUUAUGCAACAAGUGCAUGUCAGUCGGUGGAACCUGUCUCACGUAAGAGUAUGUGUAAGGUCGGUCUGGGCCGCUUCAUCCCACGAUGCCACCGAAUCAAGAUAAGACUAGUAACGGUAAGCAUAUUGAACAAAAUCAACACCCACAACUACUUUGUGUUCUACUCGUGCAUAGAAUCUACGCAAUAAACCUGGCUCAUGAUGCCAAUGUUGGGGAACGCAGCAGAAAUUCAAAAUUUUCCUACGAGUCACCAAGAUCUAUCUAUGGAGAGACUAGCAACGAGGGGAAGGAGAGUGCAUCUACAUACCCUUGUAGAUCGCUAAGCAGAAGCGUUCAAGAGAACGGGGUUGAAGGAGUCGUACUCGUUGUGAUCCCAAUCACCGGAGAUCCUAGUGCCGAACGGACGGCACCUCUGCGUUCAACACACGUACAGCCCGGUGACGUCUCCCAUGCCUUGAUCCAGCAAGGAGAGAGGGAGAGGUUGAGGAAGACUCCAUCCAGCAGCAGCACAACGGCGUGGUGGUGAUGGAGGAGCAUGGUAAUCCAGCAGGGCUUCGCCAAGCACAGCGAGAGACAAGGAGAAAGAGAGGUAGGGCUGCGCUAGGGAGAGGUGGAAACUCUUGUCUCUGGCAGCCCCAAAACCUCAAGUAUAUAUAGGGGAGAGGGAGGGGGCUGCACCCCCUCUAGGGUUCCCACCCCUAGGGGUGCGGCAGCCCAAAACCCAUCUAGGGUNNNNNNNNNNNNNNNNNNNNNNNNNNNNNNNNNNNNNNNNNNNNNNNNNNNNNNNNNNNNNNNNNNNNNNNNNNNNNNNNNNNNNNNNNNNNNNNNNNNNNNNNNNNNNNNNNNNNNNNNNNNNNNNNNNNNNNNNNNNNNNNNNNNNNNNNNNNNNNNNNNNNNNNNNNNNNNNNNNNNNNNNNNNNNNNNNNNNNNNNNNNNNNNNNNNNNNNNNNNNNNNNNNNNNNNNNNNNNNNNNNNNNNNNNNNNNNNNNNNNNNNNNNNNNNNNNNNNNNNNNNNNNNNNNNNNNNNNNNNNNNAGCCCACCUGGGGCUAGUCCCCUCCCACACUUGGCCCACGCAGCCCUCUAGGGCCGGUGGCCCCACUUGGUGGACCCCCGGGACCCUCCCGGUGGUCCCGGUACGUUACCGAUGACACCCAAAACUUUUCCGGUGACCAAAACAUGACUUCCCAUAUAUAAAUCUUUCCAUCCGGACCAUUCUAGAACUCCUCGUGACGUCCGGGAUCUGAUUUAGGACUCUGAACAUCAUUCGGUAACCACGUAUAUCUAUUCCCUAUAACCCUAGCGUCAUCGAACCUUAAGUGUGUAGACCCUACGGGUUCGGGAACCAUGCAGACAUGACCGAGACGUUCUCCGGUCAAUAACCAACAGUGGGAUCUGGAUACCCAUGUUGGCUUCCACAUGUUCCACGAUGAUCUCAUCGGAUGAACCACGAUGUCGAGGACUCAAUCAAUCCCGUAUACAAUUCCCUUUGUCUAGCAGUAUUGUACUUGCCCGAGAUUCGAUCGUCGGUAUCCCGAUACCUUGUUCAGUCUCGUUACCGGCAAGUCUCUUUACUCGUUCCGUAACACAUCAUCCCGUGAUCAACCCCUUGGUCACAUUGUGCACAUUAUGAUGAUGUCCUACCGAGUGAGCCUAGAGAUACCUCUCCGUUACACGGAGUGACAAAUUCCAGUCUCGAUUCGUGCCAACCCAACAGACACUUUCGGAGAUACCCGUAGUGCACCUUUAUAGCCACCUAGUUACGUUGUGACGUUUGGUACACCCAAAGCAUUCUACGGUAUCCGGGAGUUGCACAAUCUCAUGGUCUAAGGAAAUGAUACUUGACAUUAGAAAAGCUCUAGCAUACAAACUACACGAUCUUUGUGCUAGGCUUAGGAUUGGGUCUUGUCCAUCACAUCAUUCUCCUAAUGAUGUGAUCCCGUUAUCAACGACAUCCAAUGUCCAUGGUCAGGAAACCGUAACCAUCUAUUGAUCAGCGAGCUAGUCAACUAGAGGCUUACUAGGGACAUGGUGUUGUCUAUGUACCCACACAUGUAUCUGAGUUUCCUAUCAAUACAAUUAUAGCAUGGAUAAUAAACAAUUAUCAUGAACAAGGAAAUAUAAUAAUAAUAACUAAUUUAUUAUUGCCUCUAGGGCAUAUUUCCAACAAUAAGCCUAGGUAACGAUGAAUUCAGCGUGCCUGACGAUCCAGUGGAACAAAUUCGCUUCAAGCGACGGCUCAUGGCCACGGCAAGGAGCCUGCAAAGGAAGCAAGAGCAACUUAAAGUUGACCAGGAUUUGCUAACAGAUAGGUGGACUAGGAUCCUGGCCACCAAAAAGUAUGGACUCGACCGCACUAACAAAGGGCAUACGCGACACAAGCGGCUACCUCAACCCAAGCAGGCGAUCCAAAGUCACACCACUACGGUCCAAAACAGUAAGAAGGACAUACGAAGAGGCACCCUCAAGCCUCGGCACAAUGGUCAUAAACGUCAAGUCAGGGGUGAUGGCGUCAAAUCCAGCAACUCCCAGUCCGGUCAAUGGACAAAGAACAGCUCAAUCCUAUUCGGCCCAAGCUGCAAACUCGAUCAGCCGUGCGAAAUUCAUGGUACUCCCAAAAGGAUGGCAAAGCAUACCAAUAGAGAAUGCCGGAUCUUCAAAACAAAGCGAUCGGUCAUGUGCCGGAAACAAUGAGGGGAGGUAUCUAGUUAAGAGACCCCCCCGGAGCACAACAGUACGGCCGAUCGCCCCCAACCAUACAAACUACAGCAAUUCAAUUGCCGUAACCCCAGACCUAGUAGUCCAGGGGCUUCAUAACACAUAAAGCCCCCGCGGGUAUGAAUUUACAAAUAAACACCUUCUACAAGAUGUCGGGUGCAAAGUCCAAGUUCAUUGGCCCACUGCUCUAACGGUUGUUCUCAGAUAACCAAAAUACGCCACAUCAUCCGUGCAUUCCCCUCAUACGGCAACUGACCGUCUGCUACCGGACUGAACCACACUGACUAGAUUUAACGUGGUAAGCCGUAAAGCCAACACCAGUGAUAUACUCACACCUACGUACAAGGCCAAACCCCGCCACUAGAGCGGAAAUCAUACAGCUGUCGGAGUAACAAGUCGUGCAUGCCUAUCAAUAUUUUGAUAUGACAGCCAACUAUCCGGACACCAACCGAGGAGUCCGGGCUACUUCUCGGAAUGGCUGGGGUCACCAGGGUUCGAUCAGAACCUUUAGACCAACCAUGGGAGGGCACUCGGCUGCCUCCAAGCAUUCACCUUCACAAACUAACUUUUAUGCAGAACAGGAUUGGCGGCGCAGAAUCGGUCUGGACACGCAAGGACAGGACCAUGCAGGUAGAAGGCAGUUCAGAUUCACUUUCAAUCCAUUCGCAGCCCCCCCAGUCCGGCCAUCACAGGUUCCGCCCAAAACCAUUCCCUUUUCAUAAUCAUAAAUCACACUCAUAUGCAUAGACAUAUCAUCCCACUGCAAUGCGUAUACUUAAAUAACAUGCGCCGACCAUCGUUUAUCAUCGACGCCUCUUUGCUACAAAAGGGCAGCCAGACUUCGUGUUACGCCUGGGUAUUCCAGGGGCUUCACAAUGCGGCAACAAAGUCCGACAACCUUUUUGGUCGCUCGGCACCCCGAACUUAUAGCACUAUAUGCAUCAGCUCCGAAUCAUGUCUUGGGUCAUUGGUUGGGUUUGCCCGGCUCCCAUGUUUUGGUACCUUACGUUCCGUUCCGUCGGCUAAGGUAGAGCUGGGAGAACUACUGCGAUUGUGUCCCGGUUCUGCCGGACGAGCACCUCAGUAGAGAAAGCCGAAAACCGACUGUCAUGAUGCAGUGAGAGCCGGUCAGCUAUUCGACAGGUUGUACAAUCCUUAAAGAUUUAUUUCGCACAACACCAUCAUAAAUGCAGAUUGCAACGGAUCGGUUUCCCGAUCAGGCGCCAAUAGAGCCCCUAGUUCUUCCUUCCGAACACUAGGGGCUGUGCCGCCCAUACUCGAAUUCCUAUGGCUAAGUGAGAGUAGUAAAGCCCUAUAGUUCGAUUGCCUGGUUUGUGGUGAGCAACACCUCCCCCUAAGGACCCAAUCAUGGGAUAAAGAGUGUUCAAAAAUAUCCCGAACACCCCCGUACUUCUCACGUGGGGGCUGAAGCCGACGACUGGCCAACUCUCAGAAUUUACAUACAAUAAACAGCCGCGCGGGAAGAACAUAUGUUCACACAAAAUAGGCAAUAUAUAAUAAAAAUGCCAUCAUCCCAUAUUACAAAAUUUUGGCAAGAAUGCCUUCAGGGAAAUAUAAUGUCUUUGGUGCACUUAUCCACCGCCAGGCGGGCCCCCUUUAGUAUACCUUCAUUGUACAGUUCGGGCUUGCGAUGCUCCUUACCCUCCGGUGGCCCCUCAGUUAUCAGCUUCUCCGCAUCAAGCUUCCCCCAAUGCACUUUUGCAUGGGCAAGUUUCAUGCGCGCACCUUCUAUACAGACUGAUCGCUUGAUAGUAUCAAGCCGAGGACAGGCGCCCACAAUCCGCUUUACGAGUCCGAAGUAACUGCUUGGAAUCGGCUCUGUAGGCCACAGCCGGAUAACCAAGUCCUUCAUGGCUAGUUCAACCGCCUGGUGCAGUUCGACCAGCUGCUUCAGCUGAUCGAUAAAAGGCACCGGAUAGUUCGGCGCCAGAUACUGCGACCAGAAGUUCCUCUCCGCAGACUCCUUCUCCUCGGUCCAGUAAAAUUGGGCAGCAUCUAAUAUGCUACGAGGCAGAUCCACAAACGCCCCUGUAAAAUCAAGAAUUCAGCUUGCCGCUUAGAGUUAUCCACACUAUAACGCAAUAAUGGCCAUAGAUACAACAGGCCUUACCAGUAGCAACUUUCCGAGCCUCCUGAAUAUCCUGUACAGCACCUCGGGCUUCUUCCCGAGCAUCUUCCACGGCUUAGAGAGCUCGGGCGAGCUCGGAUUCUUUCCCUGCUAGACUCUGCUCCAAGCUCUCGCUUUUCGUCACAGCCUCCUGGAGCUCCAGCUCAGCUGCGAUGACCCUGGCCUCGUGUUUUUCACGCAGCGCAUGUUCGGCAGCAGCCUUCUCGUGGGCAUCAGCUGCUGCCUUCUUCAACGCCUCAUAUUCGGCACUCGCUCCUAGGGCGUAUAACAUAAAUACUUUUCAAUAGGCACACUUAUUCAUUUGUGCCCAAUGCAAGACAAUGUGUAAACAUACCUUGCCUCUCCUCUAAUUGCUUCUUCACACGACCAAGUUCUUCUUCGGCUCGUCCCAGGCUCUGCUUCAGUUCGGACACUUCCGCAUCAUGAGCGGCCGUCCUCUCCACAGACGCCUGUUUUCAAACACAUGGAUAUACAUCAUUAAACAAAGGUUCCCAUUACAAUAGAGGGUUUGAUCCCCUGGCCGGCUCUUUUUUGCCGGACAGUGUAUCAGGGGCUACUCCUCAUAUCAUGAUGAUUCUUCAAAGGUUCCUUAGAAGCCAUACCUCAAAAGCCUUUAUAAGGCCAAGACAGGACUCAUUCAGCCCGCUUUCGGCAACCUGAAUCUUUCCAACCACCGUACCCAUAAGGGUCCGAUGUUCAUCAACGACGGACGCGUUCUUUAACGAUGUCGGUAGACCACCCGGCAGCUCUGCGUAGACAGAGGUGGCCGGCGGAGUAGUCAAACCUCCCUCCGUGGAAGGUGGCCGGUCGCCCGAUCCUGGAGCCUUAGAGGCCUCCACAACCUUAUCCGACUCUGAGUCUCUUCGAGACGAAACCUCGGUGUCGCGCCCGGACUUCGGAAAAGGAGUCCCCGGAGGCGUCUCGCUUGCCACAACAUUCGAGCUCAACAAAUCCUCCGAUGAGGACUGUCCGGCAGGAGACCUUGCCGGGCUAUAUAAGAUGUGGCGACAGUCAGAACUACUAUGCCCAGACGACCCUGGAUACAUAGGUGUAUUCGGAGUUUGGUUACUUAAGAUUUUCCCAGGGGCUGGGCCUCGGGAUCCCACUCCGAGUUGUUAUCGGCAGCCGGGGUGGAUGCCUCUGGAUGGGAACCUCGCCCCCUCUUGGGCGAUUCGGCCUCUAGGGAAGAGGAAGCUGCACGCUUCUUCCCGCCUUCAGAGCGGGGCUCGUCCUCCUCUGCUUCCUCCUCUUUGUCUUCGGAAGAAGGAGCAUCGCUGGAGCCUUCGGAUCUGGCGUCCGAAGCCUCGCGGCAACGGAGGACACUCCGGGUCUUCUUGACCUUCUUGGAGGCCUCCUUCUUUGGUGCCUCGUAAGGCGCAGGGACCAACAUCUUCGUUAGAAGAGGUCCAGCCGGUUCCUCCGGCAGUGGGGCCGGACAUUGUAUCCGGUCCACCUUCUUUAUCCAUCCGUGAGGUCACGACGAAGCACGAUAAGAAGUUUCCCUCAGGACACACCAACUGAAGUAUGGAUGGACAGGGCAUGGUUGUAACUUACUGGGCUUGGAGAAUGGGAUAAUUGAUACCCCCAAUCCUCGGUGGAAUCCGGCCAUUUGCCGGACUUGAAGAGCACCUUCCAGAUAUCCUCGUGGGAGGAGUCAUAGAGCUCCUGAAGGGUCUGGUGCUCGGUUGGGUCGAACUCCCACAAAGUGCAGGCUCCACGCUGGCAAGGGAGAACCAGGCGAACUAGCAUCACCUGGACUACGUCGACAAGUUUGACGUCCUUGUCGACCGCGCUCUUAACGCGCGUUUGGAGCAGUGAUAGCUCAUCGGACGAGGACCAGCUCGGGCCCUUCUUGGGCCAGGACGCGAGCCGCAGUGGAGCUCCGGAUCUGAAUUCAGGAGCCGCGGCCCAUUUUUUGCCGCGUGGUUCGGUGAUAUAAAACCACUGCUGUUGCCACUCCUUGACGGAGUCGUUGAAAGUGCCCUUCGGCCAAACGACUUUGGGAAUCUUGCUCACCAUGGCACCGCCGCACUCGGCGUGUUCGCCGCUCACCACAUUGGGCUUCACAUUGAAAAUCUUCAGCCAUAGGCCGAAGUGAGGCGGAAUCCGGAGAAACGCCUCGCAUACGACGAUGAAAGUCGAGAUAUUGAGAAAAGAGUUGGGGGAAAGAUCAUGGAAGUCAACCCCAUAGUAAUACAUGACUCCACGUACAAACGGUUGGAGGGGAAACCCGAGCCCACGGACAGAAUGGGGAAGGAACACGACUCUCUCGUGAGGCUCCGGAGUAGGCACAACCUGUCCCGCCGGUGGGAGAUGGUGGCCAAUCUUCUUGGCCAGAUACCCGGCUUCCCGGAGCUUCUUGAUAUCCUUCUCCCGGACAGUAGAGGCCAUCCAUCUGCCUCCUGCUCCGGACCCGGACAUCUUUGGAAAACCUCUCUUUGAUGGAAAGGGAGAGUGCUUGGGCGUUAGGGCUCGAGCGGUGGUGAAUGAGUUAGAGGAAGGAGAAGGCGUGGGUAAAGAGGAAGAGACCUUAUCUCUUUGUAAGACGUGGUAAAAGCUUUUUGCGCCUCCCCACUUGCCUGGUGGAACCCGCUCACCUCCCGCUUGCCGCAAUUAGCGGUGUGGUUGAAUUACCCAUGCCCAUAUUAAUGAGAAUCCCGUGAUAAGGGGACACGAUCUUUGCUUCGACAAGGCGUGCCAAGGAAACCGCCUCGCGAUAUACGCUGAGGCUGGAGGUGAGAAAACGGCUCGGACAAUGACCCGACCUUGAUGACAUGUCGCACUGACCAAAAAGUUGUGAGCAGAGUACAUUUAUGAAAUACCGCUAUCUCUACGGCGGUAUGUGAAGAUCAUUUUGCCAAUCCGAACACGGCCUACGUGUUCAAUAAUAACCUUGGAGUAUUCGGAAGGAGGAACCCGCCUUGCAAUGCCGAAAACAAGACUGCGCGCCGGACUCAUCGUCAUUGAAGCCUGGUUCAGGGGCUACUGAGGAAGUCCUGGAUUAGGGGGUAUCCGGACAGCCGUACUAUGUACAUCGUCCGGACUAUUGAAGCAUGAAGAUACAAGACUCAAGACUUCGGACCGUGUCCGGAUGGGACUCUCCUUUGCGUGGAAGACAAGCUUGGCGAUUCAGAUAUUAUGUUUCCUUCCUUGUAACCGACUCCAUUUAAACCCUAGCCCUCUCCGGUGUCUAUAUAAACCGGAGAGGAUGGUCCUUAGAAGGCCGAUCACAAUCACAAUCAUACCAUCAUAGGCUAGCUCUUAGGGUUUAGCCUCUAUGAUCUCGUGGUAGAUCUACUCUUGUACUACUCAUAUCUUCAAUAUUAAUCAAGCAGGAAGUAGGGUUUUACCUCCAUCGAGAGGGCCCGAACCUGGGUAAACAUUGUGUCCCUUGCUUCUUGUUACCAUCAGCCUAAGACGCACAGAUCGGGACCCCCUACCCGAGAUCCGCCGGUUUUGACACCGACAUGGGGCUCCAAUAACACUUGAGAAAAAAACCUUCUGAAGGCCGAAAUAAUUAGAGAAAUUUGUAUAUGAAAUUUGAUUGAGUUCUCCAACUACCUAGUCUCUGGAACCCCUCUUAAUAGUGUGGAUCUCCUAUGGCUCGAAAAGUAACCAAAAAAACUUUCUAAGACUCUGAAGAACAUCGUCUUUUGCCCUUUUUGAAUAGAUGGGCUUACCCAAGUCCAUAGACCAAAUAGAGAAGCCAAAGUUAUGAGAUAAACUUGUAACCGACAUUAGUUCUCGCAAAUCGUAUUAUGGUCAACACCAAAAUCAUAAUUGAGUGACAAUUGCACUUUUAAUCUCCCCCAUUUGGUGAAUUGAUGACAAUACGAGUCACACCAUGCCAAACAUGUAAUGGGGUGAAAACCAUAUUGCCAUGCAACACUAUUAAUGUAGGAAGCUCCCACUUGACAUGUGCAUAUUAUAAAGCAGUAGAUGAUCCAUUGUGCCAAUUGACGCAGAGACCAAAUGCAUCCUGGAAGUUAAGCGAACUAUGUGGAACAUAAAAUGGAAGUCAAAUGAACUGUUUGAAGAGACCAACUGACCACUGCAACUUGAAAGUUAAGUGAACUAUUUAAACAUAAAAUGGAAGUUAAGUAAACUAUCUAAAGAGUCCAACUCCAGCCAUUGGCGCAAAAACCAAAGCCAAGAAGAAAAGCGACCAACUGCAACCCGGUAGUUAAGCAAAUUACUUGAAAACUUUUUUCCUUUAGCUAUUUGUAGAUGAUUAUGUUCAUAGUGUGUUGGUAUUUGCCUUGACAAUGACCAUAUAUUUAUCUUUAUUUAUUGAUACAUACGCCGUUUGCUUGAGUAGGUGAAUAUACUAUGAGAAUUUUCUUUUUAUGUUUCGGCCUUUCCUCAUCUCAUAAUUGCAACAAAAAGGAAACAACGGAGAAAUCAAGUAAACCAUUUGAAGGAUGUGAGAGUCUGCAUGAUAGUGAUGUCAGCAAUGCAUUCAUAUGGAACAACCUACACGUAGCAGCUGAUGCCCUCCCUUGCCAUGUCACACCAUGGUGAACUAGAGCGACCCCUGUCACUCACCAAGCAUGUGGUCAAACAUCCGCGGGCGGUGACAAGAGGCGAUCAAUCAAUCAAGUGAUUUUUUAGUUUAUUUAUAUAUUUUGUUGUAGUUCUACCUUUUUUUGAAUAAAAGAGAGCUUGCCUCUCCGAUUUCCAUUACUAGAAAUCACCAAGUAUUACAAAGAGCGACAGAACAAACAUUAUUUUCUUAACCACACAUCUUAGUUUACUAAAGAGAGGCAAGAGUAGGAGCCAUCCUUCCCUCCCUCCCUUACACCUUCCCCCAACAAACUCAGACCUAAGGCCUGGGCUCAUAUACAGGUCCUGAACGAGCAAACAGAGUAACUAACUAGAGAGAUAGGUUCUAGACAUAUUACAUCAUAGCAUAAGCGAACUAACAAAGAGAGAUCUCCAGGUGAAGAAGAGAAAAAUGUCACACGUUUGUCCUUUAGGACAAAGUCAUCAUCCUAGAGAGCAUGAUAUCAACAACUUUUACCAUGUUGUGAUUCUUCUCGCACCUAGAUGCCAGCCAUGAGCCACCAUGAACACCUCCUCUGCGACUGUUCCAACCUAUCUCACUCCUGCUACCAGUAGCUCACUUCUUCCAGUUUUUUUCUGCAAAAUUGACCAAUCAUGAAGCUAUUUUAGAAAAAGGUUAACUAGAAUACAAGGAUCAUCCACCUUGUUAUUAUAAAAAAUCACACCAUUACGUAGUUUCCAAAGAGUCCAACAUAUGGCAGAAAUACCCACCAUCACCAAACCUCUCUCCUGUAAUGAAUUUUUUAACCCAAGAUCAAACCACUAUAUCCAAGUUGUCAGGAAUACCUGAUAAAUUGGAAGCACAUUUCAAAACAGCCCACAACACACAAGCUACUGAACAGGUAAAGAAAAGGUGAUUAACAAAUUUAUUUUGUCCACAAAAUGGGAACCUUUUGUCCCCUUCCCAACCUAUGUGUAGCAAAUUAUCUUUAGUGAGAAUGCUAUUUCUGAGAGCUAACCACAUGAAAAAUUUAACUCUAGGAGGCAUUUUGGCCUUCCACAUAAAGAGCUGUGGGCAUUCAAUCCCAUUUUCAGUCAAAUGUCUAUAUAAAGAUUUAACAGAAUAGACACGGUUUUUGGUUAAAUUCCAUUUGUCAAAAUUUAUCUCUCAUGUCAGUCAAUGCAUAAGAGGCACAACCCUCUUUGAUGUGUUCCCACAUUUCAAGAGAGUCACCAAUUAAGGUCCUUCUAAAUUGAAUCGUAUAUUUUCCUUUUUCCAACACCUCCUUGACAUUUUUUUAUCAAAAUAAAUAUUGUAAAGUCUAGGAAAGCUUUUUUCAAAGAUGUGGGUUCUAUUCACCAAUCUUCCCAAAUCUAACAUUAUUUUCAUUCCCUGAAGUAAAUCUGCAUAGGGAAAGGAAAAAGUCUUUAUGUUUAAGAUCUCACACCAGAACUAUGAGUCACCUUGUCUGGUUGUGACUAUAUUCAAGCUUUCUCUUUUAUGGUAUUUACUAUAUAUAUCUUGCCAGAGGCCUUUUGAAGUAAACAAUUUCCACCACCAUUUACAUAUUAAUGCUUUAUUCAUUAGAUCUAGAUUUUGAAUCCCCAAACCUCCCAUGUCUUUGGGUCUACAAACCUCUGACCACUUUACCAGAUGCUAUUUUUUCUUGUCAUUUCUUUCCUGCCAUAAUAGUCUAGCUCUAAAGAAAUCCAUCCGUUUGCACACCCCUAUUGGUAGUUGAUGUCUACUAUACAACUUGUUAUUGUAGACUCGUGUUGGGCCUCCAAGUGUAGAGUUUUGUAGGACAGUAGCAAAUUUCCCUCAAGUGGAUGACCUAAGGUUUAUCAAUUUGUGGGAGGCGUAGGGAAGAUGGUCUCUCUCAAACAACCCUGCAACCAAAUAAUAAAAAGUCUCUUGUGUCCCCAACACACCAAAUACAAUGGUAAUUUUUAUAGGUGCACUACUUCGGCGAAGAGAUGGCGAUACAAGUGUAGUAAUGAUAGUAGAUAUUGAUUUUAAUAGGAACAAUAAAAAAUAGCAAUGUAGCAAUUGAUAAAAUGGAGCACAAACGGUAUUGCAAUGCUUGAAAAUGAGGCCUAGGGUCCGUACUUUCGCUAGUGCAAUCUCUCAACAAUGCUAAUAUAAUUGGAUCAUAUAACCAUCCCUCACCUACGAUGAAGAAUCACUCCAAAGUUCUUAUCUAGCAGAGAACAUAAGAAGAAAUUGUUUGUAGGGUACGAAACCACCUCAAAGCUAUUCUUUCCGAUCGAUCUAACCAAGAGUUCAUACUAAAAUAACACCAUAAGAUACACAUCAACCAACUCUAAUGUCACCUAGAUACUCCAAUGGCACCGCGAGUAUCCGUGAGUUGAUUAUAUGAUAUGCAUAAAACAAUUUCAGAUUCAUAAUACUCAAUCCAACACAAAGAACCUCAAAGAGUGCCCCAUGAUUUCCACCGAAGAAACAAAGACGAGAAUGUGCAUCAGCCCCUAUGCAUAGAUUACCCCAAUGUCACCUCGGGAAUCUGCGAGUUGAGUGCCAAAACACAUAUCAAGUGAAUCAAUAUGAUACCCCAUUGUCACCAUGGGUAUUCAUAGAAAGACAUACAUCAAGUGUUCUCAAAUCCAUAAAAGUAUUCAAUCCGAUAAAAAGAAAUCUCAAAGGGAAGACUCAAUUCACAACAAGAUAGAGAGGGAGAAACACCAUAUGAUCCAACUAUAUUAACAAAGCCCGUGAUAUAUCAAGAUCAUGACAUCUCAAGAGCACGAGAGAGAGAGAGAGAGAGAGAGAGAGAGAUAGAGAGAGAGAGAUUAAAUACAUAGCUAGUGGUGCAAACCCUCAGUCCCGAGGGUGGACUACUCCCUCCUCAUCAUGGAGACCAUAGGGAUGAUGAAGAUGGCCUUCGGUGAUGAUUUUCCCCUCCGACAGAGUGCUGGAGCAGGUUCCAGAUUGGUUUGUCAUGGCUACAACGGCUUGCGGCGGCGGAACUUAUGAUCUAGGGUUAUUUUUGGGGCUUUCUCUAUUUAUAGGAUUUUUUGCAUUGGUUUCAUGCGAAGAUGGGCCUCGAGGUGGGCACAACCCACCUGGGCGCGCCUGGGCCUCCUGGCGCGCCCAGGUGUCUUGUGUUCACCUCCUUCACCUUCUGGUCCUCUCACGAAGCUUCUAGUGCCUAUUUUGUUCCAAAAAAUUGUCGAAAAGUUUCGUUACAUUUGGAGAACUUUUAUUUCUUCACAAAGAACAACACCACGAUAGUUCUGCUGAAAACAACAUCAGUCCGGGUUAGUUCCAUGCAAAUCAUAACAAAACCAUAUAAAAUUGUUGUAAACAUGGCAUGAAUACUUCAUAAAUUAUAGAUACAUUGGAGAGGUAUCAGCAUCCCCAAGCUUAAUUCCUACUCGUCCUCGAGUAGGUAAAUGGUAAAAGAAAUAAUAUAUGAAGUGUGAAUGCUAGCAUAGUGCAUAAGUUUGAUAAAUGAUAAUUUCAGUCACUUUUCCUAGCAUCACAACAACAAUUCUUUCUCAUAAAGCUUAUCAUGUUAAAGUAGCAACCAAUUCACAUGUUAAGGUUCAAACAAUGAAUUCUCUUGAAACUUAACAACCUAUAUUCUUAGUCACCAAACAAUUACAAUUCAACUUAUUCAACAAAUUCUAAGUAAGAGAUCCACAUACUCAAUCAUCAUAUAGUCUUCUAUGAUUUCUAGUAGUCAAUGCAUAUUCUUAGAACAAAUGGCAUCCAUCGAACAUAGAUAAAGAUAGGGGCUUAAUGUUUCGCCUCCCAACUCAUUUAUCAUAGAGAUAAUUGUCAACAAUAAUACUUCAUGAUCAAAUAUAUUUGACUGGUCAUAUGUACCUAGAUCUUUCCCCACCACAUGAUGCUUGCCAACUAGAGAAUAAUUGAGGUUGAAAUGAUAAUGCAUACUAUUGACCUUGCAUAAAAGUAAAUACUGAAAAGUAAAAGAUAGGCCCUUCGCAGAAGGAAGCAUAGGUUGUCCUACGCUUUUUAUUUGGAUGCCCAAGAUCUUAAUGCGAAGGAACGUCACAUUAUAUUGCCCCUUAUGAUAGGAACCUUUAUUAUGCAGUCUAUCGCUUUUAUUACUUUGCCAUCACAAGUUCGUACACCGCUCAAUUUUCCCUUAUAAUAAAAGAUCAAACAUAUUUAGGAGCAAUUUUUAUUACUUUAUGCACCGAUGACAACUUACUUGAAGGAUCUUAUUCAAUCCAUAGGUAAGUACGAUGAACACUCAUGGCAAGAAACUAGGUUUAAGGGUUUUUGGAUGCACAAGUAGUAUCUCUACUUAGUAUGAAUUUUUGGCUAGCAAAAGAUCCUAGGCAAACACCACAUGUUGGAGGAUCCAUGACAAUAUAACUUCUAUGCAAAUAUACCCAAACAUAACUCAUUACGUUGUCUUCCUUGUCCAACUUCAACUAAUUUGCUCAAGUUUGAAAAUAACUAAUGGGUAUUCACAAUCAUAGAAGAUGUCCAAGAUAAUAUAUUUGUAUGUGAAAGUUCUCUUCCUUAUACCAAUCAUUUACGAAUUGCUUGCAUGACCAAUAUUGUGAUUGUCAAGCUUCAAAAGAUUUCACUUUCGAAACCCAAUGUGAAGCUACCACUAGGCAUGAUAUGAACAUAUAAUUUCAACUUCAUGAUAUUCAAUUCAUUCAAUAAUUUACUCAUAGGAUAUAAGUGAAGCACAAGAGUAAAUGGCAAACUACUCCAAAAAGAUAUAAGUGAAGAUCAAACGAGUAGUUAAGUAAAUGGGUAGCCAUUUGAGGACUCUCUUAUUUAAAAACCUUCAGAUCUAAGUAUUUAUUAAAACAGCAACCAAAACAAAAUAAAAUGACAUUCCAAGAAUAGCACAACUCAUGUGAAGAAGCAAAAACGUAGGCUCAACCAAUACUAACAGAUAAUUGUUGAUGAAGAAAGGUGGGAUGCCUACUGGGGCAUCCCCAAGCUUAGAUGCUUGAGACGUCUUGGAAAAUUAUCUUGGGAUGCCUUGGGCAUUGAUGACCCACAAGUAUAGGGGAUCUAUUGUAGUCAUUUCAGUAAGUAAGAGUGUCGAACCCAACGAGGAGCACAAGUAAAUGACAAGCGGUUUUCAGCAAGGUAUUCUCUGCAAGCACUGAAAUUAUCGGUAACAAAUAGUUGUAUGAUAAGAUAAUUUGUAACGGGUAACAAGUAACAGAAGUAACUAAGGUGCAGCAAGGUGGCCCAAUCCUUUUUGUAGCAAAGUACAAGCCUGGACGAACUCUUAUAUAAUCAAAUCGCUCAUGAGGACACAUGGGAAUUACUGUCAAGUUAGUUUUUAUCACGCUCAUAUGAUUCACGUUCGUUACUUUGAUAAUUUGAUAUGUGGGUGGACCGGUGCUUGGGUGCUGUCCUUUCUUGGACAAGCCUCCCACUUAUGAUUAACCCCUCUUGCAAGCAUCCGCAACUAUAAAAGAAGAAUUAAGAUAAGUCUAACCAUAGCAUGAAACAUAUGGAUCCAAAUCAGCCCCUUACGAAGCAACGCAUAAACUAGGGUUUAAGCUUCUGUCACUCUAGCAACCCAUUAUCUACUUAUUACUUCCCAAUGCCUCCCCCUAGGACCAGACAAUGGUGAAGUGUCAUGUAGUCAACGUUCACAUAACACCGCUAGACGAAAGACAACAUACAUCUCAUCAAAAUAUCGAACGAAUACCAAAUUCACAUGACUACUUAUAACAAAACUUCAUGUCCUCAGGAACAAACAUAACUACUCACAAAGCAUAUUCAUGUUCAUAGUCAGAGGAGUAUUAAUUAUCAUUAAGGAUCUGAACAUAUGAUCUUCCACUGAAUAAACCAACUAGCAUCAACUACAAGGAGUAAUCAACACUACUAGCAACCCAUAGGUACCAAUCUGGGGUUUUGAGACAAAGAUCGGAUACAAGGGAUGAACUAGGGUUUGAGAGGGGAUGGUGCUGGUGAAGAUGUUGAUGGAGAUUGACCCCCUCUAGAUGAGAGGACCAUUGGUGAUGACGAUGGCUUCGAUUUCCCCCUCCCGGAGGGAAGUUUCCCCAACAGAACAGCUCCGCCGGAGCCCUAGAUUGGUUCUACCCUGGUUCCACCUCGAGACGGCGAUGCUUCGUCCCGAAAGCUUCCUUCUAUUUUUUUCAGGUCAAAACACACCAUAUAGAAGAAGAUGGGCACCGGAGGCCUGCCAGGGGGGCCCACAAGGUAGGGGGGCGCUCCUAGGGGUAGGGCGCGCCCCCACCCUUGUGGAUGGCUGGUGACCACCCUCUGGUGCUUUCUUCGCCCAAUAUUUUUUAUUAAUUCCAAAAUGACUCUCCCUAAAGUUUCAGGACUUUUGAAGUUGUGCAGAAUAGGUCUAAUAUUUUCUCCUUUUCCAGCCUAGAAUUCCAGCUGCUGGCAUUCUCCCUCUUCAUGUAAAUCUUGUAAAAUAAGAGAGAAAAGGCAUAAGUAUUAUACUAUAAUGUGUAACAACAGCCCAUAAUGCAAUAAAUAUCGAUAUAAAAGCAUGAUGCAAAAUGGACGUAUCAACUCCCCCAAGCUUAGACCUCGCUUGUCCUCAAGCGAAAGCCGAAAUCGAAAAAUAUGUCCACAUGUUUAGAGAUAGAGGUGUCGAUAAAAUAAAAUACGGAUAUGAGGGCAUCAUGAUCAUCUUUAGAACAACAACAUAUAUUGUCAUAUAAUUUCUUAUGCUGAAGUAAAAAUUCGUUCACAAGGUAAAGUAUGAAUCAAAAACUUCAUUGAAAACUAACAAACUAUGAUCUCGGUCAUUGAAGCAAUUGCAAUUUAUCAUAACAUCGGAAAGAGUCAAUUUAAGAGCUUUUAAGCAAGUCCAAAUACUCAACUAUCAUUUAGUCUUUCACAAUUGUUAACAUGUGAUACUUAUGGGUUCAAAGCCUCGGUCGGACACAGAGAAAGAUAGGGGCUUAUAGUUUCACCUCCUAACCUUUUACCUUAAGGGUAAUGUCAACAAUAAUACUUUAUGAUAACCUACAUCCGAGUGGAUAUAUAUAUAUAUAUAUCUGGAUCUUUCUCCAACACAUAGUGCUUGCCAAAAGGAAAAAAAGUGUAAAUAGGAAAGGUGAAGAUCACCAUGACUCUUGUAUAAGGGUGGAAGAUAAAAGAAAAGGAUAGGCCUUUCACAGAGGGAAGCAGAGGUUGUCAUGCGCUUAUAUGGUUGGAUGCAAAAAAUCUUAAUGCAAAAGAACAUCACUUUAUAUUACCGCUUGUGAUAAAGAACUUUAUUAUGCGGUCCUUCGCUUUUAUUUCUUCCAUAUCACAAGUUCAUAUAAAGUUUAUUUUAUUCACACUAAUAGAUCAUACGUAUUUAGAGAGCAAUUUUUAUUGCUUGCGCCGAUGACAACUUAAUUGAAGGAUCUUACUCAAUCCAUAGAUAGGUAUGAUGGACUCUCAUGGCAAAACUGGUUUAAGGUAUGUUUGGAAGCACAAGUAGUAUCUCUACUUUGUGCAAAGAAUUUGGCUAGCAUAAGAGGGAAAAGCAUGCUCAAUAUGUUGGAGGAUCCAUGACAAUAUAACUUCUAUUCUGAUAUAAGAAAACAUAACCCAUUAUGUUGUCUUCCUUGUCCAACAUUAACUUAUUAGCAUAUAGUAUUUUAAUGAGUGCUCACAAUCACAAAAAGACGUCCAGGAUAGUAUAUUUAUAUGUGGAACCUCCCUUUGUUUAUUACUUCCUACUAAUUGCAACAAUGACCAAAACUAUAUUUGUCAACUCUCAACAAAUUUUAUUCAUCAUACUCUUUAUAUGUGAAGUCAUCACUUUCCAUAAGAUCAUUAUACAAUCCUUUUUGCUUCUUUUAUUCUUUCUUUUCUUUUCUCAAGAUCAAAGUAAGAAAGCAAAGCCCUCAACUCAAAACUACUCUUUAUUAUAUAACUCACAGACUCGAUUACAUAGAGGGAAAACAAAGUAAAACUCAAAAGUCAAAACUAGAUCAUACUAAAAACUUUUAUUCUACUAGAUAAAGAUAUAACCAUAAAUGAUCGAACUAAGAAAAACAAUAAAGGUAAAGAUGUGAUGGUGUUACGAUACCGGGGUACCUCCCCCAAGCUUGGCACCAGCCAAGGGGAGUGCCCAUACCCAUGUACUCAGUUCUCCUUCGGAGGUGAUGGUGGUGAUGUGGUAGAUGAUGUGGGAAGCUUCUUCCUCUUCUUACGCUUGAGGAUGUAAUUUUCCUCCUUUAAGUCAUUGAUCUCUUGCUCGAGCCUUAAUAUCUUUUUGCAUAUUUCUGCUUGUUUUCUUGCAGGAGACAAAAAGGGAUAAAUUCAAUCUUAGGUUUCCUUGAUUCAUUAGGGAGACUUGACUUCUUGAAUUCCACGUGCAUGUCCCCAGGUUGAGGUAGUGGAUCUUAUUUGAGUGGGGUGAAUUCGUAUAUAUUUUUUAGCUGUACAGUAGGGUAAGGCCCCACUGCUAUUUUGAUGAAAAGCAAGCAAAAACUAUUUUGUUGUGAAGUGUACACGAGGAAUGUAGGUGAAAUCAUAUUUGAUGCAUAUUCCAUUUGUUCCGAAUUCUGUUUGAUACAUCCUCUAGAAAACAUAUAGGAUAUAUCCAAUAGGGCAAGUUUAUGGUUACAUUUCUCUUUACGAUGCUUAUACGAAGAAUGUAGAUAAAAAUAUAUUUCACAUGCCAUUUCAAUUUCUAAAUUUUCCCACAACCUUUAACAAUUUCAUAUAUUUGCUUUUUCUUUUGUUUAUAUUCCACAAUGAUAAGGUUUUCUUAUUUCAGAAUUACUAUUAACAAAACCGUGUUCUUCCUAGAGCACCAGCAGCAACCACAUCAUGAAAGGGUCAAGGGAAGAUUAUUUGUAUGUGUCACUGAAAGCGAAGGUAAAAUUUCAAUACAACACGUUCAUAUUACCUGCAAAUUCACAAGUGCAUGUUUUGUAUCAAAAUUAAUUUUUCCCUCUUCAUUACAUUGGUAUAUGUUCUGAAUGGGUUGGCGAAUAUCUUGGUAUAUGUAGUUUCAAAGCUUCAUUACAUUGUAGUAGGGGGUUUAGGGCUCUGUGCGGCACCAUGCCUUAGCAAGCUCCUUAAUUUGGCUAGAACAGAGGGCUAGUGUUCUUACUCAUUUGCCGCCUAAUUUAUAUGGUUCUGCUAUGAACCAUUCCUACUUUGGCAAUAGAUUGCAUCACUUUAUGCCAUAGAAGAACCAUGUAAAUAAGUAUCCAACGAUGGCGACGCGGGGGCAGACACAAGGAGGGGUGGUGAGCCGGCGACGACUGGGUUCCCCCGAUCUCCUGGGUUGGGCGACGCCUAAUUUAUAUGAUGACUGAUUUAUAUGGUACAUAUUGAACAAAGAGCCCAAAUAUGUACAAGUGGAUCUGAUCGUUACAUUAUUCGAUUUGGACAUUGUAGUAGCUACCAAUAGUACAGUUCACUUCUUUAUCCUCCUGUUGCCACUAACUAAAUCUUUGUGCUUUUUUUCUUUUGCUCAUGGCCCUAUGAAAGGUUGAAUGUCAAGACAAUCAGGUGGAUCUAUCCAAAAAAUAUGCUUCCGUGGAACUAUAUAGGUUCUUUGUCUUGCAUUGCUGUUGUGACUUUAUUUUGCUGUAUGAGAAGUACAUUGUAUCAAACUUGAUGUGGAUUGAUCGUCCGGUCUCUCUUUUGGAAAAGUAUAUAUUUACAUUCCUCAUGAACUUCGAGACGAAUGGUUCUACCACAAAAUCCCUCAUGGUUGCUUUGCAUUUGGUACAUGUGAUUGCCUUGCCUUCUUCCAUGACUUUGACAAAUGAUCCUAUACCAAGUAGCAACAAUAUUGCGGUUUGUUUCAAAGCUGGAACAAAGUGUUCAGCUAGGCACCACGAGCCAAGGUGCGUUGCCGAUCUAGUUAGCUAUUAUUGAACCGUCAUCCAAAUCAUUUGGAAAGGAUGCACUCACACGUGUUGGAUUUUUCUUUCCUUUAUUGAGAAACACCGAGUACAACGUGAUAUGGACUAAACCAGUCACAUUUUCCAAGUUAAGAGACAUAGGGGUAUCAAUGUUAAGAGCAAGUUCAUGAAUCUAAAGAAAAGCUUCAUGUACUGCAGGGGUAAUUUUACUCUUUUUUAGCAGCCCAAUUUAAUCUUGCUUCUGAAACCGGCUACCUGGUAAUUUUCUUUUCCAGUAUGGUCAAAGUGCUUGCAUUUCCUUCUGGACAGUCGGCACACUAAUCUUUUUAUUUAGUGAAUCAAAGGACUCUUAUUUCAUAUUUAAAGAGUUACAAUUACAGUCAAGAGGCAAAAGAUCCUCAGUACAUGGUGGUCUUUGGUGCAUCCACACAGCCGUGGUACACUCAGUACGACUAUACAUUGCCAGGCAGUUGGCAACUCUAUUUUGAUCCCUAGUUAACUUUUUUGGAAUAAGAUCAUGUACAACCAGACAUAGCAAAUAUGACUGCUUAAAUGCCCGCGGACGCACCCGAUCAGUGACCGGGCGUGUUCGUUUCGAGCCCUCAUUCAUCUGUCAGCGCAGCCACGCUCCUUAUUUUUUUCCUCAUAUGUCCGGUCACUUGCACGUGAUUGGUGGAGAUGAAGAGAGAGAAAUAAAAGAAUGAAUAAAGAAAGAGAAAAGUUGUGGUCCGGGGUGAGGCCACUGAUACGUCUCCAACGUAUCUAUGAUUUUUGUUUGUUCCAUGCUAUUAUAUUACCUGUUUUGGAUGUUUAUGGGCUUUACUUUAUAUUUUUAUAUCAUUUUUGGGACUAACCUACUAACCGGAGGCCUAGCCCAAAUUGCUAUUUUUUUGCCUAUUUCAGUGUUUCGCAGAAAAGGAAUAUCAAACGGAGUCCAAACGGAAUGAAACCUUUGGGAGCGAUCUUUUUGGAACAAACAUGAUCGAAGGACUUGGAGUGGAAGUCAAGAAACAAGCGAGGCAGCCACGAGGGUGCUCGGCGCGCCCCCUAGGGCUGGGCGCGCCCUCCACCCUCGUGGGCCCCUCGAGCGUCCACCAACAUACUCCUUCCUCCUAUAUAUACCCAUGUACCCCGAAAACAUCAUAGGCGACCACAAAAAAGUAUUUCCACCAUCGUAACCUUCCGUAUCCGCGCGAUCCCAUCUUGGAGCCGUCACCGGCGCUCCGCCGGAGGGGGAAUCCACCACAGAGGGCCUCUACAUCAAAUCCAAGGCCUCUCCGAUGAGUUGUGAGUAGUUUACCACAGACCUUCGGGUCCAUAGUUAUUAGCUAGAUGGCUUCUUCUCUCUCUUUGAUUCUCAAUACAAAGUUCUCCUUCCUAUUCUUGGAGACCUAUUCGAUGUAACUAUUUUUGCGGUGUAUUUGUCGAGAUCCGAUGAAUUGUGGGUUUAUGAUCAAGUUUAUCUAUGAGAAAUAUUUGAAUCUCCUCUGAAUUCUUUUAUGUGUGAUUAAGUUAUCUUUGCAAGUCUCUUCGAAUUAUCGGUUUGGUUUGGCCUACUAGAUUGAUCUUUCUUGCAAUGGGAGAAGUGCUUAGCUUUGGGUUCAAUCUUGCGGUGCCCUUUCCCAGUGACAGCAGGGGCAUCAAGGCACGUAUUGUAUUGUUGCCAUUGAGGAUAAAAAGAUGGGGUUUAUAUCAUAUUGCAUGAGUUUAUCCCUCUACAUCAUGUCAUCUUUCUUAAAGCGUUACUCUGUUCUUCAUGAACUUAAUACUCUAGAUGCAUGCUGGAUAGCGGUCGAUGUGUGGAGUAAUAGUAGUAGAUGCAGGCAGGAGUCGGUCUACUUGUCACGGACGUGAUACCUAUAUACAUGAUCAUGCCUAGAUAAUCUCAUAAUUAUUCACUUUUCUAUCAAUUGCUCGACAGUAAUUUGUUCACCCACUGUAAUAAUUAUGAUAUCCUAAGAGAAGCCACUAGUGAAAUCUAUGGCCCCCGGGUCUAUCUCUUAUCAUAUAAGAUUUCAAUCUACUUUUAUUUGCAUCUUUACUUUUCCAAUCUAUAUCAUAAAAUACCAAAAAUAUAUUUAUCUUAUCAUAUUAUCUCUAUCAGAUCUCACUUUCGCAAGUGGCCGUGAAGGGAUUGACAACCCCUUUAUUGUGUUGGUUGCGAGUUCUUGUUUUGUUUGUGUAGGUGCGCGGUACUUGUGAGGAUCCUCCUACUGGAUUGAUACCUUGGUUCUCAAAAACUGAGGGAAAUACUUACGCUACUGUGCUGCAUCACCCUUUCCUCUUCAAGGAAAACCAACAAAAGCUCAAGACGUAGCACCGCGUCCUACGUGGUGGACUGCCCGGGUAUGCUCAGGCCUGUCCGCGAGCCCUCAUAUCCUCCCCAUAUUUGAGAUGGAUAUGAGGGUUCGCGGACAGCCCGGGCGUAUAGGGAUGAUAUGAGGGGCCCGGUUGGGUCAUAUGUGUUUCCUUCUCUCUCCUUUCCGGUCACUGACAGGGCGCGUCCGUGGGCGUAUGAGGGAUGGUUUGAGAGGUCCGGAUGUAGAUGCUCUAAACUCCCUGAUUUUCUUCAACUCCUUAAUUUCAGCCACUAGAUGACCAUAGGCAGAACGAUCUAGCCAAUCCGCUGUUAAACUAGACAAUCGCCUCACUUGAGUUAGAUUGGACAAUGACCGAAAGGCUGGUUUCGUUGAAUAACAAGCGUCAUUCCUUGCAUGAUUGCAUGUAUCUCCAUCUCCAGUGCAUCAUUGCAAUUGAAAAUAUGACCCUUAACGGUGCUGGCCGCCUACCCUUGAACCUUCCGCGGGAAGUCGAGGGCACCGAGGACCUGGCAAGGUGGCGUGCGCGAGGCGGGUCGCGAGCCAGAGCUCGGUCCUUCAGAUUUAUCAGCGCUGCCGGGAUGGACCUGAGCACAAGCGCCGUGCCGGCAUAUGUAGCCCUUGUUGCGGAAUGAGCAAAGGACGAGUUAGCACGUAGAGGGACUGCGGAGCGGAUAGGACCUAAAGCAUGCAGGUGAUGAUCAUAAAUCAACUCAUGGGAGAUGGUUAGGUAGUCCUGACGAAUGCAAGAAGGAUACAUGCCGUAGGAAUGUGCGUGGCAAGUCAAUGCUCCAUUCUCAAUCAGAGAGAUGGAAUGUGCGUGGUUUGAAUUCCGAGGCUCGUCAGAGAGAUGUGAGAGCUAAGAUCAAGGAAAGUCAAUGCUCCAUUCUGUGUCUGCAAGAGACGAAGUGUGAAGAUUUUGAUAUACGAAAAAUUAGAGCUUUCUGGCCUAGAAGUUUCGACACCUUUGUGUUUGCCCCAUGAGUUGGUGCCUCUGGUGGUAUUUUGGUUGUCUGGGAUUCAGGAAUUUUCAAAGGAACUUUGGUUCAGAUAGAGAGUUUUGGCAUCGUGGUUUCGUUUCAAUAUGUUCAUAAUGCGGAGUGUUAGGCUCUUGUGUCAGUAUAUGGACCUUUUGAUGGUCCACUUCGAGAUGAUUUUGUUAGUUGGCUGUAUAAUCUACAAAUACCCACUGACGAAAAUUGGUUGUUCCUAGGUGAUUUCUAUUUCAUUCAUUCCUUGGACAACAGAAACAUACCGGGGGGUGAUGUUAAUGACAUCUUUCUGUUUAAUGAGAUUAUUGGACACUUGGGUUUGCUUGAACUUCCUUUGAAGGGGAGGAGCUUUACUUGGUCCAAUAUGCAGGAGCAACCAUUGUUAGAGCAGCUGAACUAGUUUUUCACAACCUCUGUCUGGAUUUCUUUCUAUCCUAAUACAGUUGUGUUUCCCCUGGCAAAAACCUCCUCCGACCAAGUCCCUUGUGUGGUCUCCAUUGACACAACUAUACCCAAGGGAAAGGUGUUUAGGUUUGAAUUUUUUUGGGUGGAUAUGCCAGGGUUUAUUGAUUGUGUCAGGAACUCUUGGCAGCAACCUGUGUUUGCUAACCCGUCUGCGUCUGCUAUUUUGUCCACCAAGUUUAAGCGUCUGCGCUAUGCACUUAAAGCCUGGAGUAAGAACCUGUCCUAUCUUAAAUGGCUCACAAUGGAUUGUAGUAAGGUGAUUCUGUUCUUUGAUGGCUUGGAAGAAAUUCGGCCUCUCACCACGCCUGAAUUUAAUUUUUGGAAGAUUGUUAAGCUUCAUCAUGAGAAUCUGCUUAGAAUUCACUAUAUUUAUUGGAAGCAAAGGUGCACGAUCCGUUAUAUCAAGGUUGGGGAGGAGAAUUCAAAGUUUUUCCAUGCCAUGGCCUCUGAUCAUUUUCGCAGAAGUGCCAUUGCCAGUCUUUCAGUGCCUGGUGGUGACCCAGUCUCUGAUCAUUCACAAAUGGCGGGAAUUCUCUGGUCAUCUUUUAAAAACAAAUUGGGCCAGGCCCAAGGCAUUGAAAUGGGCUUUGAUCUGCCUAACCUAAUUCGCCCAGUGGCUGGUUUGCAUAGUCUGUCUGACCCUUUUUCUGAUGAGGAAAUCAUCUCUGUUUUGAAGGACUUGCCUACUGAGAGAGCUCCUGGUUCGGACGGCUUUAAUGGCCUUUUUGUCAGGAAGUGUUGGUCCAUCAUUGAGAAGGAUUUUUUGAAACUCAUUCAGGAUUUCUUUGAUGGGAGAAUUUCCCCGGAGAAUAUCAAUGGCUCUCUCAUCACCCUCAUACCAAAGAUGCUAUCUCCUGAGGGACCUGAGGAUUUUAGGCCAAUUUCUCUGACCAACACAUGUCUCAAGUUUCUUACUAAGUUACUGGCAAACCGGUUACAAAAGGUGAUUCUUAGAUGUAUUCACAAAAAUCAACAUGGAUUUCUGAAGAGCAGAGCCAUCCAGGACUGUCUGGCUUGGGCUUUUGAGUACAUACACCAGUGUAAGCAGUCAGGGAGAUCUAUCAUCAUUCUGAAGUUGGACUUUGCAAAAGCAUUUGAUACUGUGGAGCAUGAGCUUAUUCUGUAGAUUCUCCAGCACAAAGGUUUUGAUGCAAAGUGGAUUGCCUGGAUUAAAGAGAUCCUCUCUUCUGGCUCUUCAUCUGUUCUUAUGAAUGGGGUGCCUGGUAAACAGUUCAAGUGCAAAUGUGGGGUCAGGCAGGGGGACCAACUCUCCCCACUGUUGUUUGUUAUUGCUGCUGAUCUUCUCCGUUCUAUGGUCAAUGACAUGCUGGCUAGGGUUUUUUAACACUGCCAAUACCUUCUCAUGAUCCUGAUUUUCCCAUUAUCCAGUAUGCUGAUGAUACCAUUAUUGUGCUCUCUGCAGUCGAGGAUCAGUUGGUUGCUCUCAAGAACAUGCUUCAUAUUUUCCAACAGUCAACUAGGCUCAAAGUGAAUUUUGCCAAGUCCUCAAUGAUUCCAAUCAAUUUAGAGCACGAUGAGGCAUAGAGAUUAUCCAAUAUUUUGGGAUGUAGGUUGGAACAGUUACCCUUCACAUAUCUAGGUUUGCCCCUAGGUACUACCAGACCUAAGAUUGUUGAUUUAAUGCCUCUGGUGGACAGUGUUGAAAGAACACUUUCGGUUAGCUCUUCUAUGCUCAACCAAGGAUCUAGGCUGCAACUACUCACAUCUGUCCUCACCUCAAUGCCCAUAUACUUCCUCUGCAGCCUCCAUAUUCCUCCUGGCAUUAUUAAGCAGUUAGACAGGAUCUUCAGACAGUGCCUUUGGAGAGGAAAUUCUGAUGCCCCUAAGCAAUCCUUGGCUGCUUGGGAGUUAGUUUUUAGGCCUAAGGACAAGGGAGGGCUCGGUAUUCUUAACCUGCCCAUUCAGAAUCAAGGUCCACUUAUCAAGCAUCUGCAUAAAUUCUAUAAUAAGCAGCAAGUGCCAUGGGUUCAGUUGAUUUGGGACAGUUAUUAUGAUGGAGUGGUGCCCCAUGCAACUAUACUCACUGGCUCCUUUUGGUGGAAGGAUAUCCUCAAACUUGCUGAUCAUUAUAGAUCAAUUGCCACAGUGCAAAUUAAUAUGGGUGACUCUGAUCUCUUUUGGCUGGAUGCCUGGCAAGUGGGAGGUUCUUCCAGACCAUUGAACUUGAGGUUUCCAAGAUUAUUCUCUUUUGCUAUGGAUGAUAAACUCUUUGUCAGAGAUUUCGUACAAAACCAGGAUUUGUUCUCCAUGUUCCACCUACCAAUCUCACAGGAGGCACCAGCAGAACUAGAGAUUUUGGAAGGAUGGUUAUUUAAUCUUCAGAGGGAUCCUACUCUGCCUGAUGUAUGGCUCUGGCCUGGAAAGUCUGGGCAAUUUUCUGCUAAAAGCUUCUAUGUGAUCAUGCAUUCACACCUUCCAACUAUCCAACCUUGUAAGUGGCUAUGGUAGAGCAGGUGUACUAUGAAAAUUAAGGUCUUUGGCUGGCUCCUUUUCUUUGACAGGCUCAAUACUAAGGACAUGUUAGUCAGAAGGUAUUGGAGGUCCCCUCUUGAUGAUAAUCUAUGUGUCAUCUGCAAUGCAUUUGUCUAUGAGGACAGAGCACAUGUGUUCUUUGAAUGCAAUUUCAGUUGCAGGGUCUGGAGUUACUUGCAAGUGGAUUGGAGCCAUGGCUCAAAUAUUCAACAGUGCAUCUCCCAAGCAAGGCAAAGUUUUGGACACCCAUUCUUCAUUCUUUGAAGUGAUGCUCACAGUUGCUUAGAAUAUUUGGAUUCUGAGGAAUGGAUGAACCUUCAGGGGGACGAGGGCUACUUUUGCUGCAUGGAGAUGUAAUUUUAUUCAUGAUAUCCUUCUGUUGUCUCAUAGACUUAUGGAUACCCUUAGGACUAGACUUGUUGUUUGGGUUAAUUCCCUCAUGUAAAGUAAGUUUUCUAUCCUUUAGCUUAGGCCUGUAAAUUUUGUAGUCCUUGUAUAGUUUGUUUUGUUUGGUUGAGGCAAUAAAGGGCUGUGGUUUUUUUUACCCUACAGUAAAUAUUCAAAAAAAUACAUGCCGCAGGGACGGACCCACGCGGCUUGGGGAUAGUGCAGCCCGAGGGGCGCCCCCAAACUGAACAAACUAAAAGAUGUCACCUGGCACCGUUGCUGAAGAAAUGUCGGGGUAGUAGGAGGUGUGCGUUGCUGAAGUCGCUCCUCAUGAGCCACCCUGGCCCUGAACCUCGGGAGGCUCUGGGGGCGGUGGGUUCGUGAGGACCCAUCGCCAUCUCCGCCUGGAUCGCCUGGUGCCUAGCCUCCCGAGCCUCUAGGACAUCCUGCAUGUGGCGCUGAGGUGCAACAGCCGCUUAGCAAGCAGAAGGACAUGCGAACGUAGCUGUGAGGGGGACGCUCGCAUCGGCCAACACGGGACGGCCAGAAGAGCUCCUGAGACGCGUCCCUGUUGAGCCCUGGGAUGUCAAUGCAGACGCGGAACUCCUCACCCUCGCCAGGGCAAGGAGUUACGCCUGGUGGUGGGCGUCGAUCGCCAUGCGGAGCCCUCACCUCCUGAAUUUUGUUGACUACCUUGCUGAUAAAUUCCUGAGUGCCUGGUGCCUCGCGCCCUGUGCUCUCCCCUUGGAAGCGUGCAGUGAAGCAUGCCUCCACAUGGUGCCCGAGCACCUCCCUCGUGACGUUGGCCAGGUCAGAGGCCCUCCAGAGGAGAGCCCCCGAGCCCAACCUGAGAGGGGCGCCAGGCGUGCCUUCCUAUGCGAUAGGUGAAGGCGCCCUGUCCACUGACGCGAGCCUCAACGCGCCACCACCAGGCGCUGCCUCCUCCUGAGAUCCCUGGCCCAGCAGUUGCUUCUUGGUCUUGGGGGCGACUUCAGGAGGGAGGGUUGCGCCCUCGUCUUCAGGGUUCUCGACCGCUGCAGCCUGGUAGGCGCGCUCAAGAGAGCAUACUGCAUCCUUUUCCUCGCAGGCGACCGUGAUGAUGUCGCUGCUCCUUGGCAUUUUGAGGAUGUUGUAGCCGUGGUGCGUUGCUGCCAUGAACUUGGCUAGGGCUGGGUACCCGAGGAUGGCAUUGUACGGCAAGCGAAUGUCGGCGAUGUCGAAGUUGAUGAGCUCGGUGUGGUAGUUGCCGCGCUUGCCGAAGGUGAUAGGGAGGCAGACUUGCCCGAUUGGAUGCAUGGAGCCAUCGGUCACUCCUGAGAAGGGCUUGGUAGGCUGGAGCUGGUGGUAGUACUUGGAGCCUGUUAAACGUCUGGACAGAGAACAUUGAGCCCUGCUCCGCCAUCGAUGAGGGUCUUGGUGACAAGUAUGUUGCUGAUGAUGGGCGAGCAGAGCAUUGGGAGCACGCCAGCUGUGGCCACACACUUGAGCUGGUCGGAGGAGUUGAAGGUGAUGGCGUACUUGGACCACCUGAGCGGGUGUGUUGCCUUGAGCUUGGGGAGGACUGUGUUCACCUCACAUGCAAACUGCUUGAAGGCGCGAUGAGAGGCUGGGGCCUGGGAGCCGCCGAAGAUGCAGGCGAUGGCACGAGGCUCUUGGAAGCCCCCAGCCCCCUCGUCCUGGUGGUGAUCUUCGUUCCUUCUCUUCGGCGGAGGUAGCGGAGGAAGACCAGCAUUGCCCUGAAGCCGAUACUCGUGAGGUUGAUCCCUCCAGGCGCCCUCGCGAGGUUGACCCUGUCAGCAGUCCUCCCGAGGCUGGUCGCGCCACUCCUGAUGAUGGUCGUGGCCGUCCCAGCGUCCUCCACCUCGGCCACCUUCACGGCUGUAGCCUCGAUCAUUGCGCUCGGGGCGACGACCGAGGCGCCCAUUGCGGAGGGCCCUGAGCUCCUGACAAUCGUUGGUGUUGUGGAUGUGCACGUUGUGGAAGAUGCAUGACAGAUGGCUGCCCUUGGAUGACUCAGGGUGAUUGCAGUCGCGCUUCAUCUCUGGUUCGGCUGUGAGCACAGCCGGCCCCUUGCGCUUCACGUCCUUGGGCUUGGCCUUCUUGUCUUUUGGGUCUGCAUCGGGGAGCUCGAGGAGGGAGAGGCAUCCCUGCUUAGCCCUCGCACAUUUGUUCGCCAUAUUGAACAUCUCCAGAGCUGUGCAAAGGUCCUCAUGUAUGGUGAGCCGCUCCUUAAUCUUGAUGUCGCGGACGCCAUCAGUGAACGCCGAGAUGAUUGCCUCGUCCGACACCUUGGGGAUCUUGGGGCGAACAUUGUUGAAACAUUGUAUGUACUUAUGCAGGAUCUCUCCUGGCUACUGCUUGAUGCGUCGAAGGUCACCUGCAGCUAGCGAGCGGUCGCGCAUGCCCUGGAAGUUGGCGAUGAAGCGCUUGCGCAUCUCAUCCUAGGAGGAGACCAAUCCCAGAGGGAGCUUCACGAGCCAGGAGCAUGCGCCGUCCUUGAGGGCCAUGGGGAACCAGUUUGCCAUGAUCUUCUCAUCGCUGCUGGCCGCCUCGAUGCUCAGUUCGUAGAGCUACAGGAACUUAGCAGGGUCGACGGUGACGUCGUAGCGUGGGGGUAGGUUAGGCUUGAACUUCCCCGGCCAGAUGGCGUUGUGCAGCUCCGGGGUGAACGCGCGGCACCCUGCUGUGGUCACGGGAGCCUGUAGGGGUGGUGGAGCCUGGCCUUGGUGCUAGCACACCACCAUCAUAGGCGGCGCACGGUCUUGACGUGGAGGUGUGAGGAGCGCACAUGCAUCUUCUUGGGGCCGCUGCACCACUUGACAGCUUGCUUCUUCACGCGCGGGCGCCUGACGCUGCGCAUCAUACUGUGCCACUACCCGCCUUGGCUCGAUGAUGGCGCCCUGCACUGGAGGCAGAGGAGGCGCCCCAUGAGCUAUGUCGCUCGCAGCAGGCGGCGGCUGAGGCAGCGAGCGGGCCGGCGCAGCAGAGUCUCCGACGGCGCUGACGAGCUCGACGAUGCACUUGAGCCACUCCUCGUAGAAGUCGUUCACUGGGCGGUAGCUUAGGAGCUCCCGUGCCAUGACCAGUGCGGCCUAUGCGUUCACCAGGCCACGACGUGCAUGGGAGGAUGAAGCGGCCGGAGUGAGCGACGGGGUGGCGGUGCACCUAUCGCGGUGCACAGAGGGGUGCAAUGAUGAAGCUUGCUGCUCGUGGCCAGCAGGGACCGUGGCAGCAUUUGCCGUCGAUGAUGGGGGAUGACGAGGACAACCAUCACCCGCCGGUACCGUCUGAGCGAUGCGGGCUGCGACCGCGCCUGGCGCUCAGUGCGAGCCCGACGCUCAUAAGCCAUGGAAGUGUCGGAGUAGCGGUGGAUCGAUCGAUGGAAGAGAAGACCCGACGCACCCCUACCUGGCGCGCCAAAUGUCGGAUUUCGGGUACCGCAAACCCUUUAGGGGUUUGAACUUUGGGGUGCGUGCGGAGAUCUCAACCUGCCCAGCCUGCCUACUCGCUAAUCUCACAGCCUAUCGCGUCGAGCUCAAAGGGAAAGGAAGACACAACAGUUUACCCAGGUUUGGGCCACCUUGCGGUGUAGAACCCUACUCCUUCUUUGUGGUGGAUUUGCCUCGAGGGGCUGAGGAAGAGCUAGUAUAGUGGAGAACAGCCUCAGGAGGCGUGUUCUUGAGCUCAAGUGAGCAGGUGGGAUGGUGAGGGUGGAAUGGAUUUGAUCCCCUCUCUCUUGUCAGUGCAUUCGACCCCCCUGGUGGUGGCUAGGUCCUAUUUAUAGUGGCCUUGGUCCUCUUCCCAAAUGUAGGCGGGAAGGGAUCCCACAACGACCAAAUUUGAAGGGAGACAACAAGUACACUCUAUCCUAACUAAAGUGGUCUUUACCUGCAAAAGCCGCUGGUCGUGACGCUGCGGUGGGCUCGGUGGUGACCUCCGUCCUGCCGUCCUGGUGGUCUUGGUCUCGUUGCACCAGAACGGAAACCUUUGGCUAAUGCCUCGGGACUCUGCACCUGCUGCUUGCGUCAUUUGCACCAAAGAGGAAACUGGUACUCUGCACCUGCUGGCGCUCGCCUGACCUUUGUCAUCACAGCUCACAUCAGCCAAACCUCGCGAGGUGAGCCUUGCAUAGAAAUCUCCGCUCCUCGGGAGCCAGCCUAAGGGGGCCGAUCCCCUUGGAGGUCUUUGGUGUCAUCCGCCUUGCGAGGCUUGGCCCCUCGCGAGGGUCUUGAGUUGUUGAUGCUGAAGCUGGGUCAUACCAGGCCAUUGAUGGAGCCACGUCGUGGGCCGCAGGUAGGCGAGUCUGGGUACCCCUGUAUCCAGAACACCGACAGAAACUAAACAUGAACAACAACCUACAAACCCUAGAAUAGCAUGCAUCCACAACUACAGAGCUCAAGUAGGAACCAAUGCAUGAGUAGGGCAUAGAGCAUCAAAUAGACAAGUCCCACAUCAAUAUAGCCAUGACCAUGUCCAAUACAGUAGUCGAAGCAUAUGAGCAGGGGGAAGAUGGAUCUCACCAAAGAAGGUUGUAGCCGAGGCAGUACUCACUGGGCACCGGGGUUGCGCUUGAACGCCGUCCAACCAACAAGGAACUGCGUCGGAGUUGCGCUUUGCACUGCCCCGCCGACGAGCACGAACGCAUCAAACAACCAAGUGAUUAUGUGCACGGAAUACAUAUCAAACAAUAUAAACAAUCAGAUAUGCUAUCACAACAGGCGAAUAAACAUCUAGUAUAACAGAAAAAUAUAAUAGAAGCGGGGCUAGGCAAUAUAGAAAGCAAUGCAUAUUUGAUAGACUAGUUCAUCUAUCAUUGGAACUAUAGAAUAUUUAGAAGACUUCUAAUAAUAGUAUGUCACUGCAGAUAUAUUUGUAAGUCAAAUGGAACAUGUUCUGUUAAAAACCCAAUUAAUGGCCUAACUUUGAUAAAGCCACAAGACACUACAGGUGUCGGGGGUUGGAUACGACAUAUGCCAAAGGAUGGCUUAUCAUGGUGGGAGCGAGUAGAACAUCGCCGGUGCCUGGAAGCGGGAUGAGGCGAAGACAUGCACGCCGGCGGAACUUACCCAGCUUCAGGGCUCUCCUAGGAGAUAACACCCCUACUGCUGCUCCGCGGGGUCUCCGCAUGAUCACUCAAGCAAGGUGACUACAAUGGUGCUCCUAGAGCUGUUUUGGGAGGCCAGAGAGAGCAAGGCUAGUUCUCUCCUCCCGUGCUAUCUGGUCUAUCUCUAUUCAGGUCCGAACCCUUUGCAUGGGUGCCCCGAGGGGUUUAUAUAGGCCUACCCCCCGGGGGUACAAUAGUAAUACGGCUGGGCACGGUCCCAGCCGUGUGUCUCUCUGGCCACCGUCCUUCCCGCCGGCUUCUGGGGCCCGCCGACUGGCGGGUCCCGCGGACAGGCUUGAUACUGUAGCGACACUCCUGGUGACGCAGGCUUGGUCAUCGGGUCGUGCCAACAGUGCCGCCGUCUAUCGGGCGAUCACCAUCGCCAUUCCCCAUCUUAUCUGGUUAAUGGCACGUGGGGCCCUGGGAGGAGUCGGCCGACUCCAGGGAGGCCGACUCCCACAGGUCCGUCUUCGGGUGCCCAGGCCAUCUUCGGCCUUCCCCCUGACAGGCGGCCCCGCCGCCUUUGGGUCGUAUAGGCCGGCGUCAUGGGCACAGUGUACUGCACACUCUGGCUGAGGUCAGGGCAGGCAUGGCAACAGUGCCGCGCCUCACCGGAGAUCUUCCAGCUAUACGGCUCACUGUAGCCAUGCCGGCCCUUCGUGAGCAGGGGGGAAACGGCCACGCCGUGACCGUACCCUGCAUCGUACUUCGGGAUGAGGGAGGAGCCACGGGCCGACUCUCCAAAGUCGGCCUCUUUGGAGGUCGCCAGCUUGGAGUCGGCCUCUCUGGAGGUCGCCAGCUUGGAGUCGGCUUAUCUCGGAGUCACCGUCUGGGACUCGGCUUGAGGGGCGCGGCCUGCCCCGAUGUCUUGAAAGGUCUUGGGGCUCGGGUUAGCCUACCCGUGGCCCAUUACUCCGACAGUAGUCCCCGAAGCUGGUGAAGCCUGGCGGUCGCUGCAUUGUGGGGCUUCAACAGCUUCAAUCUUUAUAAGUGCAGACUCUAGGACUCGGCUACCGUCUUCCCUUGGGCCGACUGCCGAAAGUCGGAGUUUCGGUGAAGAGCCUCAGUUCGAAAGUCGCGGCGGGAAACCAGGCGGCGUGCCUAAUACGCCUCCCUGCUGCCAUCAAGGCGGUCCUAUCGCGUGGCGCCACGUGGGGAGAACAGUCUGCCUGCCCACGCGCGCGACGGGACGGGCCGUCAGGCGGGGCCCGCCACUACCGCGCCUCGGCAUACGAACGGAUCCGUUGCGGCCGUGGACGGUUGGUUUCCCCACGUUGUUACUGCGCGCAGUAACUUCAUGGGGUAAAUUGUGGGGCGGUGUGGGACAUGGUGCGCAGUUAAUCCCACGCCCGCCCCCUCGGCUUCUCAGCCCGCAGGGCUAUAAGUAGGCGGGGGGAAACGGAGCGGCGCAGCUUGCGCGCCCUUCUUCCCCGCUACCCCACCUCAUCU